rnacentral:lncRNA from 1 species
GAAUAUCUAUCAUGGUAGGAACAACUAAAAUACUAUCGAUAGCAAACGAGUUCAGUUGCCACCCAUUUAUUUUCAAUGAUCAAGCCUCCAAAUCGACGAUCGGUAUCGUUGAAUAUGAUCUAUACCACCUGAAGUGUUUAGAAAUCAAACCCAUCUAGUGGACACAAAAAUGAACAGUUGAAAAUGAAUAUUUUUUAAAAAAUGAUGAUAAUAGUCUUGUAAUCAAGAUCAAAAGUGUAGAUCUUAUUUUAAAUAAUUUAAAAAAUUUUCUAAUAAAAAUUUAAUUGAUUUGGAUAUCUUUAUGCCGUUAAACGAGAAAACGUUUCAUAUCGACCUUUAAAAUUAUAAAAUUUGAAACUCUUUGAUCAUUAGGUAAAUAAUAUCGAAAAGAUUUGAAAUUUGAUUUCUAAACACUUCAAGUGGUAUAGAUCAUAUUCAACGGCGCCGAUCGUCGAUUUUGAAGCGUUAUCAUCGAAAACAAAUAUGUGGCAACGGAAUCCGUUUGUUUCGAUAUUGUUUACUUAGUGAUCGAAAGAGUUCAAAAUCAACGGCUGAAAAUAAAAAUCUCAUAAAAAGUAGUGAUAUAGUACUAAGAUUUUCGAUCAGAGAUAUUGAACUUAUUGUAGAUGGUAUAAAGAAUUUUCUAUCAGAAUUUUAUCUGAUUUGAAUACUUCUACACCGUUAAACUUGAAACGGCAGUUAUCGACUAUUAAAAAUCGUUGAUUUUGAGUCUUUUCGAUCACUAAAUAACUGAUAUCGAAAAAGCGCAAAAUUUAUUUUCUACGUAAUUCAAAUAUGCUAGAUCAAGUUUAGCGGAGCCGAUUGUCGAUUCGGGAGUCCCAUCAUCGAAAACGGCUCAGGAGCACCCAAGACCUAUAUAUAUAUAUAUAUAUAUAGCUAAAUUACAGAUAACCGCUAUGUCAAUAUCCGCUUUUUCACUUUUUUUCUCUGUCAUUUAAAAACCUACACUUUGUCUCCUUGAAAAAUGAGAACUGUUUACAGGGGGUACACCGUGACAAAAUGACCAAAAUGCCCUCACCAUCUUCGUCUCCUCCCCCAACCUCGCUCAGCCAUCGCCCCUCCUAUUCCGUUUUUCGCGUCUCGCUCAACCGCAGCUCCCACUCCAUUUUCCUCCUGCUCCCCCGCUCUUCCUGCACUCGUGUUGCCCCCCCCCCCCAUUUUGGCGAGAAUAGGGAGGAGAUCGGAGUGGGCAUAGAUGGAGAGGCAUGCGAGGGCGAGCGGUGGAGAAAGGUGAAGGGGAUGUGGGCGAGGGCGAAAACGAGGGCGAGGCAGUGGGGGAGGGCGAGACGGCAAGGCGGCGGCGAGGCGGAAGGAGGAAAGCAACAUAGAAGAGGGCGGAGGGAUAUUUUAGGCAUAAAAAAAUAUUUUUUAACGGAAUCCUAAUGAAUCACUAACGGUAGAGGGUGAAGUGCACAUUUCUCAUUUUUCAAUGAGUCAAAGUGUAGGUUUUUAAAUGACAGGAGGGGAAAGUGAAAAAGCGGGUAUUGACAGAAAAAUUUUAUGCAAUUUAGCCAACACUUUAUUAUGUUGUUGUGAACAAUAGUUUGUUUGUUUGGGAGUGCUUUUCCGUUCAUAGUACAGCUAGGAUUAUGAAGUUCUCUCACAGCUCAAUUCAACUGUACAAAGUCUACUUAAACAAUUGAACUUGCGCCUGUUGAUCAAUCCAAUUAAUUAACUAAUUAAAUAUAAACUAUUUGAGAUAAAAAUAAGCUUAUAAAUUGUAAUUUUAAAUUUUUCUCAUUCAUAAAUGACUCACACGGAUCAUUCCGUCCAAAACCAUAUGCAUUAUUAUGAGGUUCGAUUUAGAAGAGGAGAAAUGUAAUUAAUAAUCUUCAGCAUCCCGAUGACGCGGUUGGUGGUCGAGAAGAAGAGAGAAGAAUAUAUAAGUCAAUUAUGAAUAAGGACAAGUUUUAAUUUCCAAAAUUUUAUCUGAAUUUUUAUCUCAAAUAGUUUAUAUUUAAUUAGUUAGUUAAUUGGAUUGUUUGACCGGCUCAAGUUUGUUUAAGUAGACUUUGUAGAGUUUAAUUGACUUGUGAUUAUUUUAAUGAGAGAGACUUUACAACCCUAGCUGUACGCCUGCACGAGGAAUGGAAAAGCACUUCCCAACAAAUAAAGAACUGUUCACUAUAUAAUAAAAUAUUUUUCUUAUCCAAUAAUACGCAAUCUAGCUAUACCGUGCGUACAUACUAGCCAAAAUUUCUACUUAAUUAUAGUUUAUUUCUCCAGUAGUACUCUACUUUUAUAUUUCUUGAAUCAGGGCUUUUUUUUUUUUCAGUGAGUCUUAGAUUUCCAGAAAAUUUUAAAGAAAGCGUCAAAUUUUUCUAAUCCUUGUAUUUAAAUUCUUAAAGUUUAAAAUUUUUGUUUGAAAUUCGUCUUGAUUAAAAGCAAAGAUGAAUCACACCAUUAGUAGCCGGACUUUAAUAAGUGAAAUUUUGUUUAGUUCAUCGAACUUUAAUUUGUUUUAAUAAUUAACUGAACAUUAAUUUCUAUCUCAUUCUUAUUGCUUUAUCACAUUUCGUAUAAUUUUUUAGACAGAACACAAAAACGUUAGCUAAUUUAGCUACCAUAUAGCUAUAAUUUAUUUAAUUUUUAUUUGUAGGCUAAAGAUAAUCAAAUUUAGCAGUUCAGAAUUAGAAGGAAUAUAUAUUUUACCAUAGUAGAAUGAUAAUUAACUAAUAAAAUUUAUCUAAACAAAUUUCAAUUAGCGAAAUUUCGAAACUGCCACACCCAUCGAUUAAAAUGCCAUUUAUUUAGUUAAAAGUUCAUGUUCUUCGCCUAUAGAAAGUUUCGAUUUAUUACAUAAUUAACUUUUCAAAAUAUACCCAAUAUAUAUAUAUAUAUAUAUAGAAUUCGCAAAGGAGCUUAAUUGCCUACUUAAAAAUGAACUUAUGCACGAAAAUCCAGGUCUUAUGAAAAGUACAACUUCACAUUUGUUUAAAACAUCUGAAUUAAAAAACAAAGAAAAAGUCUACCUGUACUUCUAUAGGAAGGUGUAUAUCCUACACCCGUAUGAUCCAACGGCUAUUAUUAGAUCACUAGCACAGUAGCAGCUAACUUCACUCUCCUUUUUAUUUCUUUCUAAAGCUAAACCCUACUACACAUCUCUCUCUCUCUCUCUCCCGUACACCUCCUUCUCGCUCCCGCUCGCUCCCUCGGUCCCGCUCGCUCCCUCGCCUCUCUCUUGAUCUCGCGCCUCUCUCGUCACCUCUCUCGUCAUCUCACGCUCUCCCCUUUCUCUUUCUCUUUCUCUUGCUCUCGCUCGCAGGGCACUGCACUCCAUCGGGCAGAAGUUCGGCAUUGCUCGUUCCACACAUCUCGUGUCCGAAGCCAUCUCGAAGGUGUCUCUCGGCCUCGCCUUUCUCCAUUGGUAGGAGGUCGCCUCUCAACUGCUCCCCUGUCCAUCCCAGUACCUGUGACGCAUUCCUUCAGUCGUGAGCGUCCGAAAUUGGGAACGAUUUCAGAGCUAAUUCGGCCACAACCGAAACAGAGGAUUCAACUCAAACAGGGCAUUUUUUUUUAAAUUUCUAUAAUCUUUUAUUUUCAAUUUUUAAUUUAAUACAAAAUGUAUAUUUUGAGGGUUUAGGGUUGCAGCUGCGGAUUGUCUUUGCGUGCUCCAGAUUUCGUCACCGAAUAGGUGUUUAAUUUUAUUUUAGGACACUGGUGGUAUAUUUGUUGGUAUGUUAUAUUUUAUGUUGCAUUUUUAAGAAUAAAGAAUUUAUGAUUAGGAUUAGGGUUUAGGGUUUACAAUGUUCUAUUAUGCCAGCUGAUAGGAGUGUUCACAAUCUAUUGAUUGUGAAUUCUAUUAUGCAAACUUGUGGUUUAGAAUGUUCUAUUAGGCCAGCUGAUAGGAAUAUUCACAAUCUAUGUGACAGUGAGCAGUUCUAUUAAGGUUUAGGGUUUAGAAUGUUCAUUUUUUAUGGUUCCGAACAUGUAUGAGUUACAAUCGUACCUUCUUAUGGCAUAAUAUAACAUUCCUAGGGCAUAAUAGAACACUCCUAUCAGCUGGCAGGAUUAUGAACACUUUGAUCUAAUAAUAGAAUAGAUGUAACUAUUAAUAGAACACUCUUAAUAAGUUUAUAGUUGUGAACACUGUUUUAGAAUUUAGAAACAUUUUAUGUCAUAAUAGAACUGUUGUAAAGGGUAAUAGAACACUCUAAAUAUGUUUAUGAUUGUGAACAUUAUUUUAUGAUUUAGAAUACUUUUAUGCCAUAAUAGAAUAGUUGUAACGGAUAAUAGAACACUUUAAGGUGUUUAUGGUUGUGAACACUCUCAACAGUUGUAUAUGUUAUUUUUAUACUUAAUUAAUGCUCUAUUAUCCACAGCAUUUAUUCACGGCAUUUAUAUGUUCGCAUUCAACGAAACAAAAAUUAUAUUAAGAUGAGAUUGUUCUAUUAUGUCAUAAUAGUGUAUGUGAAUUCUAUUAUGCAAGCUUGUGGUUUAGAAUGUUCUAUUAGGCCAGCUGAUAGAAGUGUUCACAAUCCAGCAAAUAUAAUAUACCAGCAAAUAUAUUUGCUGAUAGAAGUGUUCUCUCGCUCGCUCGCUCGCUCGCAGAUCACUCCAUCGGGCGGUGUUCGGCAGGGAAGGCGGUCGAUAGAAGCUCCUGUCCCAAGCCGUUUCGUAGGUGUCUCUCGUCCUCGCCUCUCUCUAUUGGUAGGAGGUAGGAGGUCGCAUCUCAACUGCUCCACUGUCCAUCCCAGUACCUGUGACGCAUUCUUUCAGUCGUGGGCGUCCGAAAUUGGGAACGAUUUCGGAGCUAAUUCGGCCACAACCGAACAAAGAAUUCUACUCAAACAGGAGAUAUUUUUGAAUUUCUAUAAUCUUUUAUUUCUAAUUUUAAAUUUAAUAUAGAAUUUAUAUUUUGAGGGUUUAGGGUUGCAGCUAGGGUUCUUCUGUGCGUGCUGCGGAUUUCCUCACCGACUAGCUGAUUCAUUUUAUUUAGGGUUUACUCAGCUGGUAUAUUACAUUAUUUGUUGCAUUUGUAAAAAUAAAGCAUUUAUGAUUUUAGUGUUUAGAAGAUGCGUCCACAGUAACACACAUAUAUUUCAUGUAUUUCAUAAAUUUUGUUUAGUUUAUGAUAGAAAAUAUGUUUAGUGUUACUAGUAUGUAGAAAGGUAUAGAAAAUAUGUUUGGGAUUACUAGUAUAUUAUCUUAUUUAUACUUGUAUACUUGUCUUGAAAAUUAAUUUGUUUGUAUUCAUAUAUGUAUUGUUGGCUAGAAUUAUGUAUGCAUUAUAAUCUGUCACUCUUAUGCCAUAAAGAGUUUAGUCUUAGAGAUUAUAAGAACGCUCUUAGUAGAACACUUUUAUAGAAUUUGUGUUUGCGAACAUAUAUAACCUGAGAUAGCCAUCGCGACUUAUGCUCGCCCAUGCGGGAUUUGGCGCCGAAGUGGAUUGCCGUGGGGGAGGCUCAUCCCUAGAGUGGGAAUGUUGACUACUACGGUGCCAUUAGGCACGGCGCAGGCCAGACAGCCUUCGGAUGGGUCUUAUAUGAUUGGGACUUAGUGACAGAACAUACUAUGUGAACUUUAAAACUAUUAAAGUGGACUUGGACUAGAAUAGUAAGCAAUGACAUCUUUACUAUCACAUUAUGGACAUUGGGAUUAGUUGCAUAUUCAUGCACUUCCAUGUUGGAUAUUCAUGUGCUUAUACUCAUAGUAGUCGCUUUCUUACUUAUACAAUAUAUAGCUAAGUAGAGACAUCAUGGUUAUGCUGCAUUUAUUUUACUUAUCAGCUGCACAUAUCGCUUUUGGUUAUUUAUUCACACUGACCCUCUUUUGUAGCUUCGGGCCUAAUGGUGCAUUUCACUGAAGUCACUAAUUGCCCACUGGGAACUAUUAUUUAAUAGUUCUCACGCCCCUGUUUUCUUAUUUCCUUUCAGAGCCUUCUGCACCGGCGGAGGCACGGGAUCGUGGCAAGGGGAUCGCAUAGCUAGCUAGCGAGGAGCGGUUCUUUGCCUAGGUGGUUUACUCUUUCUUUUUCUAGUUGAGAGAGUGAGAGAUUUUGUGCCCAUGUGUAGAGACCACCUAUGUAUUUACUUUUAGCACUUGUAUUUGGGAUUUUCUUUGUACUACUUAUGCUUUUAUUAGUGGAUUUCAGCGUUACUCUUCUUACUUUGAUGUAGAACUUGGUCUUUCUUUAUGCUCUGAUACUCCUAGAUGCCUUUUUACUAUUGCUUUAAUUAUCGUUGCUUUUAGACGCCUUAUAUGUUUUAGACGUAUGGCGGGUCUGGGCACGCGCCGGGCGGGCUUCCGCUGGGCCCCGGGGCGUGACACAUGAGCGUCCGAGGGGUCAGAUUCUGAUUUGUAGAUUGAGGAGGCAUAUCCACUCUAUGAGGAUACAUGAUAGGAUGUGAUGAUACGGAUAUAUUUUUAGGGCCCCACGUUGUCUAAUAUAAAAAGAAAGCAAACGUAAACCAUAUUAUUACUAUAUAGAUAAAAUUGUAUUAAAGAACUGUCCAUAAGAAAUAUAAUUUCUGUUACUGUAACGAUGAUGCCUCGGCUGCUUUGUACACCCAUCCCAUAAGGUAAGUUACUUGCUGACGAAUUGUUAAUAGUAGGACUUUGUAGAUGAACCUGUUUUAAUAAACUAUUUUGUUUUGUAGAAUAUGAGAUCCAGAUGUUUAAAAAUAAUUAGUGAAGUUCCAUUUAUAUGUCUAUAUUAGAAAAUCAAAUAUAGAAAUAAUAAUGCGUAAAAUAUGUACGCUCUGUUGGGACGAGGUCGACUGUGAUGAUGAGACACAAUUAUAGAUGGAACAUUCACCGUUAUAUAACCUGUCCCAACAAUGUUGCCCAACCUGUUAAAUAGAGCAUGAAUAAUUAUCACUCAUUGUCGUCUAUCGUAUAUUACAAUCCAAAAAAACAUUGAUUUAGAUAGGUUAAGAUAUACCUGUUCUUUAUUACCUUUCAUCUUCAACCGUCGUACAAUUUUAUCAGCCGUCGACUAUUUUCUUUUGCUUGGCGGGCGGCCUUUACUGCGAACAAGUAGUGGGCUCAAAACUCUCUGGUUGUUACUUCUACCAUUCGACGCAUCAUUCGAAGGUGUUGCCGCAAUCGGCGAAUAUUCAAUAUCAUUGCUCCCCUUCGAUGAUGAAGUAUUUUCUAAUUUCGUCUUCAAAUCUCGUAAUGUACGUAAUGCUAGUUCACAUUUCUUAUCAGACUCAGCAGCUAUGUCUGCAAUGUCAUACAUAUUCCUACAUACUUCUUCAUAUCGAUAAAUUUCCGCGGUGCUCCCUAAGUUUUAUGCCAUGUCUUCACGCGGGUAUACCUCCGUCUGACAUCCUUCCUCCAACAUGUUAAUAUGUACGAAUUUGGGACAAUCAUCAACUUCCUAUGAACUAGGACGGCAAUUGAAUGUCGACAUAAAAUACCUUUAUACUCAAAUAGACGGCAAAUACAACUUACUAGAGAGGUACCUUCAUCAAAAUUUACCUCCGUCGCCAUACUCAUUUACUUGAUAAGAAUACACACUGCUCGUCGAAGACAGUAAGGAGGUCUCACAAUGCAAUAAUUCCUUCAACUCUGCCUGAAAUUCUCUAAAUUUCGCAAUCGUGUAUACAUCUUGAAAUUGCUUCUCAAAUGCAUAACGGCUUAUACACGGGAUGACUGAGCUGAAUGAUUUAUAGUCUAAUUCUGCUUCCUUUUCAGCUUUAUUUUUUAUUGCGCUUUCAUAUUGCUCAACGAAUUGUUUUAAUAAAGUUCUCGAGUUCACAUACCCAUCAAAAAAUGCAUUCAUACUUUCGCUACGCUGUGUUGUGGACAUUCCAGCCCAAAAUAUAUCCUUCACAUAAGCUAGUAUCCACUUAUGUCUUUCCUCGUACAGGUCUGACAACCACUGAUUAUUUUCAAGUGCAUAACAAGCUAUUAUUCUCUUCCAUUUUUCCUUAAGUUCAAUUUCUGUCUGUGAUUCAUAAAUAGCAUUCAUCAUCACGCUCUUCAUCGAAUGAUAUUCGCCAUAGCUUCUUAGCUUUUCAGGUAUCUUUUUUGUUAUGUGCCAUAAGCACCAUCGAUGCCGAGUAUUAGGAAAGACACAUGCGAUAGCAUUUUGCAUCGCUUUAUCUUGAUCUGUGAUUAUUGCUUUCGGGACACGGUCGGACAUGCAUGACAACCAAUUCCGAAAGAGCUAUACAAACGAUUCUGUAUCUUCAGUGGAGAGUAGGCCGCACCCCAACAAGAUCGACUGUCCAUGAUGGUUUACACCAACAAAAGGAGCAAAUGGCAUAUCGUACUUAUUUGUUAGAUAUGUCGAGUCGAAAGUAAUUACAUCUCCAAAAUAUUUAUACGCCGCUCUACUUCGAGCAUCUUCCCAAAACACAUUGCGAAGCCGAGAAUCAUCGUCUAGAUCUAUGACAUAAAAAAAAUUUUCAUUUCUCUCUUGCAUUUCUCUAAAAUAAUUACAAAUUGUUUCGCCGUCACCUUCACCAAGUCGUAACCAACGGGCUUUUUCAAUAUAAUUACGAGCGUCCUUCUUUCCAAAUGUUAAGUUUUCAUAUCCACCAGCCUCAACAAUAAUAGAAUUAAAACUUUUAUUCAAUCUUAUUCCAGCACGAUCAUUAAGAUCAAGCCGCCUCUUGAUGCUUGUAUCUAUAACUCGAUUGCAGGGAAAAAAUCGAGACUUAUAAGGACUUAGAGUGUGAUUAUGCUCUAGUGUAAUUUUGCUUAUUACACAAGAUGAAUCCACAUUUAUUACCACAUUUAUUCUGGCUGGACAGUUUGUCUUUGCUACCAAUGGGUGAGGACGAAUAUUCGUUACGGUUCGAUACAUAUUUCCAUGACGAGAGCAUGCGAUUAUUACAUAUGUAGCCUUGCCAUCAGUCAUUUUUGUUGACCUUUUUACAACUGCAAAUUCUAUUUCUUGUGCAUAAUACUUAUAGAAAUUAAAAACGGCAUCAAAAUUGAUAAAAGCCAUUCCAAUUUCUGGUGCCGAUAUAUUUACAUCCCUAACCUCACUAUUUCUUUCUUCAUUCAUCUCAAAAAUAUUAAAUCCAAAUAAUCACUCAACUAAACAAAUUUAAGUAAAUUGCUCACCUGUAAGACAUUAUAUAGAGUUGGAAUACUAAAUUAGAAUAAUAAUGAGCAGGAAAACUAUUUGUCAAAAUUUAGACAUCUAAAGAUUCUACUAUGGCCUAAAAAUAUAUUAUCUAUUAACAUAUAGAUCAUACAUCAAAUCAGUGAUGAAAUUAAUCAAAUAAUUCAUCACAAUUAAAAAUUAAUAAUUUACUAAAAAAUUAAACAUCUCAUACCUGGUUAUAUAUGUGGCAGUGUACGAAUCAUUGUGCUCGGGGUAAACCACGUCGUUCAAUUUUGCCGCAUCCUCGAUUGUCUCCUCCGUACUUGUCGCGUCCAAUUUGAUCGCAGAAUCCGCCUUCGCGCUUCUUUCUCUUCCUCUCGUUCUCCCUGUUUCUAGCAUAGCACAACUCCUUUCGCUCCCUCUCGCGCCCUGCCCUCGCUCUCUCUCGCGCCCUGCUCCCGCUCUCGCUCGAGCUCUUCUCUCUCUCUCGGUCGCUCGCUCGCUCGCCUCUCUCUCUUUAGGUCGCUGGCUCGCUGGCUCGCCUCUCUCUCUCAGUCGCUGGCGUGCUCGCCUCUCUCUCUCUUUAGCUCGCUAACGCCAAAAAUUAGAAAAAAAAAAGAGAAAAUGUGAGGGGCUAAAAUGUGAGAGUGAGGUUAACACUGUUUUUUUUUUUUUUUAACCAAGUUUAUAUCACCCGUUGGAUCCAAGAGUUGUAGGAUCUACAACUCAAUAUGGAGUGUAUGGGUAGCACGACUCUUCAACAAAAGAAUUGGCUCACUUUUCAAGGCACCUAUUUAAAAAUUUCGCCUCUGUCCCACCAUUUCUGAAUUGCUUAGGGGUGGUUGGCUCCUUGUAAACUGAAUCCAAAAAUUAAUUUUUUGUAUGAAAAAUAUUUUUCCACUUGUUUGAUAAAAUAUUAAAAUAUUGUUUUGUAAAAAUAUUUUUACAGAUUUAAAAAAAAUUGAAGUUUUUAUUUUUUUGCUAUUUUCUAGAGAAAAACGAAAACUCAAGCGGGUAAAAAAGUUUUUUAUCUAUUUUUUUCACCGAACUAAACAAAUGUAAUAUUUUUUUUCUAUCAAUCAAGUAAAUAUUGAUGAAAAAUUAUCUUUUUUUUUUCUACAAAUCAAAUACUAUAAAACGUAAAAAAAAAUUUCUAGUAAAUUUUCUUUUUCAACAAAAAAAUAUUUUUUUAUAAUUUUAUGUUGAACCAAACGGUGCUUAAUACAAAAUUGAUAUGUUCGGUGCAUGACGAGGUCAAAUACUAACAACAUUAAUUUUUAUUUUGUUUUUAGCAUCUUAAAUUAUUAAAAGAGUAAUCAGAUAGAAAUUUUUUAAAUUGAUUAAAUGUGUUGUGAUUUAAAAGUUGGCAGUGACACCAUACCACUAUAUUUCUAACUAAUCAAAUUAUACUUAUAGGCUGUGUUUGGUUGGAAAACUAAAUUUUGGAGAACAACUUUUGUUGUUUCCGAAAACAAGGGAUAUUCCGAUAUAAGAUAGAACAAUUAUAAAUUUAUAUUUGGAUGUAUUCGGGGAUAUUCUAAAAAAUAUUUUUAGUAGCGUUUGAAUAAAAAGUGUAGAACAAUGUCUAAAUAUAUUUUUAAAUAUAAAAUAAUUAAUUUAUAUUAGUAUAUUUUAUAUAAAACUAUUUAUAAAAUUAUUUCUUAUAGUAAUUUAUAAUAUAAUAUUUUAUGUAAGAGUUUAAUUUAAAAUAGUAUAUUUAGUUUACUAUAUAUAAUAAUAAUAAUUUAUUUUAUAUAAUUUAUUUAUAAUGUAUGUAAAGAUAUCCUUAUAAUUUAAAUUAAUAAUAGUAUAAAUACAAAUUUAAAAAAAUAUAUAAUGCAUGAAAAAAAAUAUAUAUAUAAUACUUAAUAUAAAAAAAUAAAUAUUAAUAUAUAAGUCAAAUUUAAUUAUUUUAUAUUAUAUAAUAAAAUUUAAGUAUAAAUAUAUUAUCAUAAAAAUAAUAUUUAUAUUAAUAUAUUUAUUUAUAUAUCAAUUUAUCUAAUAAAAUAAAAAGAAGAACAAAGUUAUUCUCAGUUCUCCUAGGAACAAGUUUUAACGGGUUGUUCCAGGACAACCCAGAACAAUUUGCUUUGACCAGAACAACUCAUUCCUUCCUGUUCUUCUACCGUUUGGUUACAACUUAGAGGAUAUUCCAUAUUGUCCCGAAAUGUCCUCGCUACCAAACGCAGCCAUAGAGUUCUCUCAUCCCAUCAUAAUUUUUAUAAAUAAUUUCUAUUAUAUUUUUUAAAAAAUAAUUUAAUUGACUUGAGAUAUAAAUAUUGUGGUUGACUCGCAUGUGCUUCUUCUCUCUUCCUCUAGACCCCCGAAUGCGUCGGGAGUACCGAAGAGUUUUUAAUUACAGUCUCCCUCCACUAAAUCAAACCUCACAAUCACGCACAUGUUUCCAGAUCCAUGGAACGACCCAUGAUAAGUGGAAGUCGUAAUUUGUUUAAAUUUUGCUUAGCUAAUUAAUGUGAUCACUGAAGAGGAAAUAAUCAUAUAAGUCGUUGCUUGUUUUUCAUUUUGGAAGGUUGAAAAUCUAUCUUGUAGCUUUGUUAAAAGUUAAUACACGAGCAAGAUAACGUACUCUCUAAACAACAAAAUUUGAGUUUUUAAGUCAUACUCGGGGUUGAAAAAAGAAAAAAAAAAAUGUGUGCGUCCGUAUGAAUAUAAAUAUUAAAAAUAUUAUUUUUAAUAAUUUAAAAUUUUUAAGAAUAACGAUUAUUUCUGGAUAGUAUAGUUCACAACUUCACAUGUUUAUAUAAAGAGGUGAAAAUACAAAUAAACGGUUUGUACUCACAAUUUAAAUUUAAAUUUAUAUUUAUAUUUAUAUUUAGAAUUAAAAAUUAUAUUUUAAAAUUUAAAUUUAAACUAAAAUUUUAAUUGAAUUUAUAGUUAAUUUAAGACGUAAAUUAAAUUUACACUUUGAAUUUCAAAAUCUGGUUCUAACUCAUAACUGAAAUUAAAUUCUAAACUAAAAGUUCAACGUACAUAGAAAUUAAAAUAUUUAUUCAAAUUCUAAAAUGUUAUUUAUUUAGUUAAAAGUUCAUGCUCUUCGCCUACGGCAAGUCUCGAUUUAUUACGUAAUUAACUUACAAAUAGCUUACGCGUAAAAACGCAAGUUCUUAUAAACGAAAAGUACAACUUCACGUGCAUGCCAACUUCACAUAUGUUUAAAAUAUUUGAAUUUAGAAAAAAAAAGAAAAAAAGAAAAAAAGACUAGCUCACUUUCCCAGGCUCGUAUUUAAAUAAUCCUCCUCGAUUCCAUGACAUCUGAACUGCCUAAAACAAAAUCGACAUAUUGGGUGCGUCAUGCACGGCGAGGUCAAACAAUACAUAUUAGGUGCAACAUGCAUGGCGAGGUAGAAUGGUAGAUCAUACACUUCCCAUCAUAGGAUUAACAAAAAUUCAAAUAAUUUUCAGUAAAAAUAAAAAAAUAUCGAUAUAACAAGUAAAAAAAUUAUGGUCUUUGAGAGAAUAGGUGUAAGAUAUACACCAUACUUUGGGCUAUAAUUAACUAUAUAUUCUUUAUCCAACUCCUAAUUAUAAUUAUUAGAAAUUCCUCUAAAAUGAUCAAUAUUAAAAUAUCUUUUAAUUAUAUAAUAUAUAUAUAUAUAUAUAUAUAUAUAUAUAUAUAUAUAUAUAUAUAUAUAUAUAUUCAUAUUUAUAAUAAUCAAUCUAAAAAUUAAACGAAAUUUUUAUUUGGUCAUUAUUCAUUAUCAUGCUUUCUUAAUCAACUUAAAGAUUUUUGCUUGAAAUAUUAUAAAUGCAGUUGAAUGUACAGCAUAUUAAAACUUACUGGUUAUGAAUUAAUGAUGAUAAUAAUACAAAGCUGGUUGAGAAUAGCAAACCUGAAGGAACUUUUACAAAAGUGACAUCAUCAUUAUAAUAAUCAUCAUUAUUGUUAUGUUUUAAUGUUAAGGUUUGCGCGCAGAUAAGUUGUGCGGCGGUGGGUUCGAGUACCAUGCAGGCAUGCAUACAUAUAAUGUCUAUAAAUAGAGGCGGCGUGGAAGCAGCUCUCCACCCAAUCCGUCUACCACCCAUGAGAGAACAAACAUAUAGGCACAUACAGGCACAUAUAGCAGCUAGCUAGAAGAGCCAUGGCUUCGAGCUUGGUGAGCUACAGAUUACCCACGACAACAUCGCCUUGCUGCGCCUGUUGGGGACAGGGAAACACCUCCUCAGCCUGGCCCUCAUCAACGAUUUCAAUAAAGCAGUCAGGAGGGCCGUCGAUGACAAUGUGUCGGCCUCAUAACCGUCCACAGCGGCAACUCGUUCUCGGGCGGCCUCGACUACAAUUCGGCCCCGAGGCGGUGUUGGUGGGGGCGUUUGCGAGCCUGAUCGCAGCCUCAUCAAGCUGCCAUUCCCGACGGUGGCCAAGGUGACGGCCAAGCGUACGGGGCAGAUUCACGCUGGCGCUCGCACAUGACUAUUGGUGCUAUCGACCGACUCCACUGUUAUCUGUGCCAAAACGAGCUGACUGAGGGCCACGAGGUGCCGUCGUUUGCUGCGCGCUGCUGUUCGGCAAGUUCCCGCCGUCGGCUGCUUGGAGCUGGCAGUGUCGACAGUGCCAGUUGCCCCCCAAAUACUCCCCAUAUCUGACUACGUGGGGAAGUACGUAGGGUGGAGCAUAGAUGAUGUUGCGACAAAACUGCUGGCAGCCCUUGCCGCGUCGGCACCGCUUACAGUGCCGUACGGAAAGAGUCUGCUGGCCGAGGUGUGGGCGCUGGUGAAGCCCACAGUAACUCAAGCCUAGUUAAUUUGGGCCUGCUGCAUAUAUGUCGCCCCUCGUAUGGCGUAUAGUAUCACCGUUAGUAGGUGCGUGUCUGUUGGCUUCGAGUCCGAGUCUGAAACAGUUUGUUGUGCUCGUAUUUUUCCCUUUGAAUUAAAUAGGGGUGAUGUCCGUCGAGUCAGUCUCUGUCCUUGGCCUUGUACUGGAAUAAAUUAUGCUUGUGUGUGUGUCGUUAUUUAUUAUUUCGAGUGUUUGCUCUUCGCAUCUCUGCAGACCUAUGUUAGUAAAUUCGCGAAUAAUUCGCGAAUUAUUCGCGAAUCUUUGAAGAUACGUUUAAAACGACUGUUUUCGUAUUUUUCAGAAAAAUUCGAAAAAAAUCGCGUAUUUUUUCACAAAAAUAAUUAUACGCGAAUUAUUCGCGAUUCGCGAAUAAUACGCCCAAAAAAACGGCACGUGCGGUCGCCGACUGGCGGCCGCGGGUCGCAUCGUCGCCGCUCUCGUCGCCGAGCUUGUCCGUGUCAUCGUCGUCCUCCUCCGCCGCCCUGACCAGCGUCGGGAGCAAGAGGGCAGCGGGGCGGCGUCGUCGUCCUCCUCCGCAGCCAUGGCCGGCGCCGGAAGCAACUUGCGGAGCGAGGAAGAAGAAAUCGCGGUGUAUAGGCUGGAAAUGGCACGGUCCAUGAGGUGUAGGGGAUUGGAAAAUGUCGGGGUCCACGAGGCUGCACUCAGCCUCGUGGACCGUGCAGGAGUGAGAGGUCCACGGUGGACCUCUCACUCUCUGCCCUUUUGUGUGAGAAUAUGACUAUAUAUAUAUAUAUAUANGGCAACAAGAGGCAUUUUGACUUGUUUACUUUUAAAUAUACUCCUGCUAUUAGCACCCGUUAAAUCAUUACGGAUUAAAUUCCACUAAAGUUAAAAUUAAAUCAAAAUAUCUUUUUUUCCAUGACUUAAGAGCAAAUUAAUAAAAAAAAUUGGUGACGCUAGAAGAGUAUAUUUAAAAGUAAACAAGUCAAAAUGCCUCUUGUUGCCCCUAACUUAACGGCAAAUAAGAAAAGUUGGUGAUGAUAGAAUAGUAUAUUUGAUAAAGUAAAACAAUAAUUUUACAGAGAUAACAAGUGUUCCUAACAGUUCACUAACAGAAUCUAACUGUAAAGAUAUAUUUUAAAAAACUUGGAACUUUUAAAAGUUAUUUUUAAUACUAGCCUUAUAAGAGAGAUAGAUACGAAAGCCGUCGGAAUUCUUACAGGGGUAUAUAAGUAAUUAUCCCAAUUAAAAUAUAUACAAGAAAAUAGUAUUUUAUUGAUUUAUGAUCCUUACUUGUUUAUUUUCAUGUUACUGUAGUUGAUUAAGCUUAUAUAUCAAUUGAUUAUUUCAGCUAUCUCUGAUUCGUACUCUUUGUUCAUCGGUGGUAAGUUUUAAAAAUUUAAAUUUUAAAUAUUCAAACUUUAAAUGUUUUAACUUUUAAAUAUUCUAAUUUUAUUAUUUUUUAUUUUAAAUUCAUAACUAUUUAUAUUUUAAUGUGUUAAAUUUAAACUUUGAAUUAUAAAUUUAAAUUUUUUUAAAUAUAUAUUUUAUAUUUAAUAUUUUAUAUAUUUAUAUUUUUAAAUUUUAAAAUUUUUAAUUCUUUAAAGUUUAAUUUAAAUUAGAUUUUAAAUUUUAAAUUUUAAAUGUUUAAAUUUUAAUGUGAAACGUUUGAGAAUUUUAACUUUAAUUUGUAUUUUGGUAUAUUAAAAAUUUAUAUUUUAAUUUAAUGAAUAUAUAUAUGUUAAUUUUUAAUAUAAAUUUAUAUUCUUUGAAUUUUUUAAAUUUUAUAAUUAUUUUAUAAUUAUAGUUAUUAAAAUUUUAAUUUUUUAAAAUUAAAGAUAUCAAAUUUUAAUAUUUAUUUACUAUUUUGGAACAUUACAAAAUAUUUAAUUUUAAUUCAUAAUUAUAACUUUAGAAUUUUCAAUUAUUUAAAAUAAAAAUUUCAAUAAAAAUAUAUUGAUCGCAGAACCGAAUUAAACAACAAAAAAACAACAUAUUCUAAAGUUUUCAAACUUAUUAUCGCCAAAAAAUAUUUUAUCACUCUAAAAACUCAGCCAGCGUCAUACAAGGUUUACAUCAAAUCAAUUCUACUUAAUAUCAAAAUCACUUUUCUUAUAGCUAGAGGCAAACCACCUAUCAUAAUAUGAUAUAUCAGGAUUGAGUGCAAAUAGGCAAUGUGAUCGAGUAGCUAAAUAGUAACUCCCCAAGAAUAUCAACACUUAUUUGUGAUAGUAUCUUUAACUUUGAUCUUCUGCAGCUUUGGACUACUCCAGAAGACGACACGUUAGACUACGGUUUGGAAGUUGACUUGAACCUAGUUGUACAAAUUACUCAGAAUGCCUCAUUUUGUUAAUCUAUAUAUGUACAAUGACUUAUGCUCUGAGCGCUCCUAUUGCGGUAUAUUUAAUUCUAGAGCGAGGAGAGAGAGAGAUUAGAUAAUGACGCAUCUCGUUGUCAUUUUUUAUUUAAUUUUUCACAUGAUGAAAGCAUGUUCAGAAGUCGCGAUCACAUCAUGUUGAAUACUAUAUAUAUACCUUGACCCAGCGCCACUUUAAAAAUCAGACUUUUUAGAUAUUUCUAGUGUACAUUUUCUUCAUAUUUAUUUACUACGAAUAAAGGCUCUGUCAUAAUCAAACAUCUUUAUAAUCAAUUCGGAUAUCAUAUUUCACCAUCCCAGAGAGUAGUAUAAAUUUUUGCCGAAAGAAACUAAAUCGAAUUGUCACAGCUCUCCUAAACGUGGACCAGUAAACUAGGACAGAAGAUGAUUUAGAGCGUAGCUCAUGCUCGCUAUAUCACGUAUAACUUUAUCAACGUAGUGCUCUUUUUCAUCUUAUACAUCGAGGAAAGCGUCAAAGUUUGAGUGUAAUAAUCUCUUCAUUUUAUGCCAGAGAGAGAAAAUUGGCAACGAACCCCCCCCCCGAUCGCUCCAACGGCGUCUAUGUAACAGCGGUCAAGAAAUCUUCUCUCUUUUNNNNNNNNNNNNNNNNNNNNNNNNNNNNNNNNNNNNNNNNNNNNNNNNNNNNNNNNNNNNNNNNNNNNNNNNNNNNNNNNNNNNNNNNNNNNNNNNNNNNNNNNNNNNNNNNNNNNNNNNNNNNNNNNNNNNNNNNNNNNNNNNNNNNNNNNNNNNNNNNNNNNNNNNNNNNNNNNNNNNNNNNNNNNNNNNNNNNNNNNNNNNNNNNNNNNNNNNNNNNNNNNNNNNNNNNNNNNNNNNNNNNNNNNNNNNNNNNNNNNNNNNNNNNNNNNNNNNNNNNNNNNNNNNNNNNNNNNNNNNNNNNNNNNNNNNNNNNNNNNNNNNNNNNNNNNNNNNNNNNNNNNNNNNNNNNNNNNNNNNNNNNNNNNNNNNNNNNNNNNNNNNNNNNNNNNNNNNNNNNNNNNNNNNNNNNNNNNNNNNNNNNNNNNNNNNNNNNNNNNNNNNNNNNNNNNNNNNNNNNNNNNNNNNNNNNNNNNNNNNNNNNNNNNNNNNNNNNNNNNNNNNNNNNNNNNNNNNNNNNNNNNNNNNNNNNNNNNNNNNNNNNNNNNNNNNNNNNNNNNNNNNNNNNNNNNNNNNNNNNNNNNNNNNNNNNNNNNNNNNNNNNNNNNNNNNNNNNNNNNNNNNNNNNNNNNNNNNNNNNNNNNNNNNNNNNNNNNNNNNNNNNNNNNNNNNNNNNNNNNNNNNNNNNNNNNNNNNNNNNNNNNNNNNNNNNNNNNNNNNNNNNNNNNNNNNNNNNNNNNNNNNNNNNNNNNNNNNNNNNNNNNNNNNNNNNNNNNNNNNNNNNNNNNNNNNNNNNNNNNNNNNNNNNNNNNNNNNNNNNNNNNNNNNNNNNNNNNNNNNNNNNNNNNNAAAUUUUAAAUUUUUGAAAUUUAUAAUUUGAAGAUUAAAAAUUAUAAUUUAAAAUUUAAAAAUUUUAAAUUUUUAAAUUUAAAUUUUAAAAUCUAAAAUGUCAAAUUUUAAAUUUUAUCUUAAAUUUGAAAUUUGAAAUUUUAAAAUCUAAAAUUUGAGAUGUGAAAUUUAAAAUUAAAAUUAAAAAUUAAAAAUUAAAAAUUUAAAGCUUGAAAUCUAUUUUUCAAAUUUUAAAAUUUGAAAGUUAAUAUUUAAAAAUUCAAAAAUGAAUCUGAAUAUUAAAAAUUAAAAUUAAAUUUAAAUUUAAACAUUGAAUUUAAAAUUAAAAUAAAAAUUAGACGUUUGAAUCCAAAAUCAGAAUCAGAUUUCAAGAAGCAGUUUUUUUCUAUUUCUGAUUCUGAGGCCUUCAAAAUCAAUUUUCUGAUUCUAAAAAGUAGAAUCAGAUUUUAAAAAUGAGAUUGCCAGAUGCUUUAUUGAUCCGAAAAUUACUUGUUAACCAAAAAGCGUUUUUUAAAAAUUAGGCCAAACACCCCCAUAUAUAUAUAUAUAUAUAUAUAUAUAUNAAAUUAUAAUUAAAAAUAAAAAAUAAAAUUUUAGAACAAAAAUGGUGCACCGGGUGCACCAAAAAAGCCUCACUACUCUCCCAAAUGGAAGGCAGCAGGGCGAUGGCUCGGAUGCCACGUGGCGCCGAGCCAGGGUAUCCUCAAAUUAGCCUUUAUGGACACCAUGUCCAUAAAAUUUUUGUCCCUGGUUACGAAUAGCAAACCUGAAGGAACUUUUACAAAAGUGACAUCAUCAUUAUAAUAAUCAUCAUUAUUGUUAUGUUUUAAUGUUAAGGUUUGCGCGCAGAUAAGUUGUGCGGGCGGUGGGUUCGAGUACCAUGCAGGCAUGCAUACAUAUAUUGUCUAUAAAUAGAGGCGGCGUGGAAGCAGCUCUCCACCCAAUCCGUCUACCACCCAUUGAGAGAACAAACAUAUAGGCACAUACAGGCACAUAUAGCUAGCUAGCUAGAAGAGCCAUGGCUUCGAGCUUGGUGAGCUACCAGAUUACCCACGACAACAUCGCCUUGCUGCGCCUGUUGGGGACAGGGAAACACCUCCUCAGCCUGGCCCUCAUCAACGAUUUCAAUAAAGCAGUCAGGAGGGCCGUCGAUGACAAUGUGGUCGGCCUCAUAACCGUCCACAGCGGCAACUCGUUCUCGGGCGGCCUCGACUACAAUUCGGCCCCCGAGGCGGUGUUGGUGGGGGCGUUUGCGAGCCUGAUCGCAAGCCUCAUCAAGCUGCCAUUCCCGACGGUGGCCAAGGUGACGGGCCAAGCGUACGGGGCAGGAUUCACGCUGGCGCUCGCACAUGACUACUUGGUGCUAUCGACCGACUCCACUGUUAGUCUGUGCCAAAACGAGCUGACUGAGGGCCACGAGGUGCCGUCGUUUGCUGCGGCGCUGCUGUUCGGCAAGUUCCCGCCGUCGGCUGCUUGGGAGCUGGCAGUGUCGACAGUGCCAGUUGCCCCCCCAAAUUACUCGCCCAUAUCUGACUACGUGGGGAAGUACGUAGGGUGGAGCAUAGAUGAUGUUGCGACAAAACUGCUGGAGCCAGCUGCUGGCCGCGUCGGCACCGCUUACAGUGCCGUACGGAAGAGUCUGCUGGCCGAGGUGUGGGCGCUGGUGAAGCCCACAGUAACUCAAGCCUAGUUAAUUUGGGCCUGCAUGCAUAUAUGGUCGCCCCCUCGUAUGGCGUAGUAUGUAUCACCGUUAGUAGGUGCGUGUCUGUUGGCUUCGAGUCCGAGUCUGAAACAGUUUGUUGUGCUCGUAUUUUUCCCUUUGAAUUAAAUAGGGGGUGAUGUCCGUCGAGUCAGUCUCUGUCCUUGGCCUUGUACUGGUAAUAAAUUAUGCUUGUGUGUGUGUCUUUAUUUAUUAUUUCGAGUGUUUGCUCUUCCAUCUCUGCUUAAGGCUAUGUUAUUUGAACUAGACCUAAUUGAUCUAUCUGCUCAGAAAACACCAGCCCGAUACGGCUUGGCCUGGUCCGAUGGCCAUCCACUUGUUUCUUUUCCGGCUCAAGGCGGCCCAAAGACGUAAAAGCGCUUGGCGCCAUAGACGCACUUGGGACUCGAAGGACAGUCAUCAAAUUAAAAUGGGAUAAUUAAUUGCCUGUAUACUCUUCAAGGCGUCUAAAAUUUCUUAUAUACUAGGCAAAACUUUUCUUUUUUGUUUCAAAUAUGCCCCCCCCCAGGUAUAUUUCUUCCAUAUUCAAAAAUUACUCCUGCUAUUAGCACCCGUUAAAUCAUUACGGAUUAAAUUCCACUAAAGUUAAAAUUAAAUCAAAAUAUCUUUUUUUCCAUGACUUAAGAGCAAAUCAAUAAGAAAAAUUGGUGACGCUAGAAGAGUAUAUUUAAAAGUAAACAAGUCAAAAUGCCUCUUGUUGCCCCUAACUUAACGGCAAAUAAGAAAAGUUGGUGAUGAUAGAAGAGUAUAUUUGAUAAAGUAAAAUAAUAAUUUUACAGAGAUAACAAUUGUUCCUAACAGUUCACUAACAGAAUCUAACUGUAAAGAUAUAUUUUAAAAAACUUGGAACUUUUAAAAGUUAUUUUUAAUACUAGCCUUAUAAGAGAGAUAGAUACGAAAGUCGGAAUUCUUACAGGGGUAUAUAAGCAAUUAUCCCAAUUAAAAUAUAUACAAGAAAAUAGUAUUUUAUUGAUUUAUGAUCCUUACUUGUUUAUUUUCAUGUUACUGUAGUUGAUUAAGCUUAUAUAUCAAUUGAUUAUUUCAGCUAUCUCUGAUUCGUACUCUUUGUUCAUCGGUGGGUGCAACUUAUCUUUGACGACUAUUAAAAAAUAUAUUUUAUAUGUUUCUUGUCCCGCCGUUUUUAUAGAUGUUGCUCACAAUGUGGGUUGAAGUGUUGCAUGAGGUUGUGGUUAGUUAGCACCUAAAUAGCUGGUGCCAUGAACUCGCAUUACUAAUUUCCUAAUUUACUUUUCGGUUAUUAUUUCUUUUAUCAUAAUUAGAUUAUAUAUCUUAAACUUGUAGCCUUGAGUUUGAAACAUUUGUUGGAUUUACAUAUUCUUGACAUUUUUGCUUUUCUUUUGGAAAUUUAUGAAUCAGUUAUAAUUGUUCUAUGAUUCCUCCUUUUUAAGAUUCUUUGUUGUAAUUGUAGUUAUAUUGUCUGUGCUCCUACCUCGUACAUACACAAGGAAGACUCUGCCUGUAUAGAAAGAAAAAAUUUUGGGCAUGUAGGGGAUCUUUGCGCGUCUCCAACAAGAUUUAAAAAAAAGUAUAUAUAUACGUUUUUUUCGCAAACUCUAUUUUUUUCUGAAUAAAAGAGUUUACUAAAGAUAUUUUUUCUAAGGUUCUUGAGACAGUGACAGUUAAGCACUUAAAAUUAGGCUCAUAUAUCUUCUAUCUAACUACAUUAAAGGAGAGUUUGGGGAGACCAAAGGUAACACCUGUCCCCCCAAACACUCCUUUACUCUCUCUCUCUAUCUCUCUACUAAUUUUAAUAAAUUUUAUUUAAAUAAAUUUAAAUGUUAAAUUAUUUUUUAUAAUUUUUAUUUAAUUAAUAAUUAAAAUUAUAAAAAUAUUGACAAAGUAAAAUUUAUUAUAAAAAUAUUUUUAUAUCCGCAGCAUUCGGCGGGUAUUUCACUAAUAUAUAUACAGAGAGAGAGAGAGAGUCCAACUACCCUCUUAGGAGAACAGAAGACAUCGUUCUCCUAAAUCGUCACUUUUUAGUUAGAAAAUUCUUUAAAUCAUUUAAAAUAAAAUUUAUAUUCUUGACCCUGAUACAAGACUCCUAUUGUCACUUUUUAAGGAUUUUUAUUUUCAAUUGUCAUUUUUGUGUUCAAUUGAUAUAUAAAAAAAUAAUAUUGAAAAAAAUAUAAAAUUUGAUUUCUAAAUGCUUCAAGUAAUAUAUAUCAUAUUCAGCAAUAUCGAUCGUCGAUUUGAAGGCUUCACCAUAAAAAAUAAAUAAAUCACAACGAAAGCGUCAUCAUCAACUCUCUCUCUCUCUCUCUCUCUAAAUUAAAAUGAUACCCAAAGCUGCUACAAGAUAAUCAUGUGUACUAUAUAUAUAUUAAAAAAAUGGAGGGGCAUGUGGUAUUUGUACAACUAGGUUCAAGUCAACUUCAAAACCUUAGUAACAUGUUCUCCCUGGAGUAUCCAAAGCUCAGAAGAUCAAUUUUAAAACACUAACAAAUAAUGAUUCCUUGGUGGUGAAUAGUAUUAGCACUUGAUCACAUUGUCCGUUUGCCUUCACCGAAUAUAUAUAUAGGGCCUGUUUGGACUGGCUUCUGAAAAAAUAAUUUUGAUUUAGAGAAGUGAUCUUGAUUAAACGCUGUAAAGUGUUUGACUGAGUUUAGAUAAAAAUAAUUUUUCUAAAACAAUUUUGAAAAACUGUUUGGUAAAUUUUUUUUGAUGUUUGCAUCAAUUAAUAUUUUUAUUAAAUUUUAUUUUAAAAUAAUUUAAAAUCUAAAGUUAGAUUAGAAUUAAAAUUAAAAUUUUUAAUUUCCAAAAUAGUACAAAAUUUAAAAUUUGAUAUUUUAAUUUAAAAAAUAAUUUAAAAUUUUAAAACUUAAAAUAUAAAAUAAUUAUAAAAUUUAAAAUUCAAAAAUAUAAAUUAUAAUUAAAAAUAUAUAUAAUUAUUAAAUUUAAAAUAUAAAUUUUAAUAUUCCAAAAUAUAAAUUUAAAUUAAAAUUUCAAACUUUCAAUUUAAAUUAUAAAUUAAAUUUAAAAUUUAAAAUCUAAAUUUUAAAUUUGAAAUUUAAAAAUUAAAAUUAAAAACUUUAAAAAUAUAAAUAUUAUGAAAUUUAAAAUAUAAAAUAUUAUAUUUAAAAAUAUAUUUAAAUUUUAAAUUUCAAAGUUUAAAUUUAAAAUUUAAAAUUUAAAAUAGUUAUGAAAUUUAAAAUAAAAAUAUAAAAUUAAAUAUUUAAAAUUUAAAAUUUAAAAUUUGAAUAUUUAAAAUUUAAUUUUUUAAACUUAAAAUUUAAAUUAAAAAAUUAAAAUUUAUAAUUUGAAGAUUAAAAUUAUAAUUUAAAAUUUAAAAUUUUAAAUUUUUAAAUUUAAAUUUUAAAAUCUAAAAUGUCAAAUUUUAAAUUUUAUCUUAAAUUUGAAAUUUGAAAUUUUAAAAUCUAAAAUUUGAGAUGUGAAAUUUAAAAUUAAAAUUAAAAAUUUAAAAUUAAAAUUUAAAGUUGAAAUCUAUUUUCAAAUUUAAAAUUUGAAAGUUAAUAUUUUAAAAUUCAAAAAUGAAUCUGAAUAUUAAAAAUAAAAUUAAAUUUAAAUUUAAACAAUGAAUUUAAAAUUAAAAUAAAAAUUAGAGUUUGAAUCCAAAAUCAGAAUCAGAUUUCAAGAAGCAGUUUUUUUCUAUUUCUGAUUCUGAGGCCUUCAAAAUCAAUUUUCUGAUUCAAAAGUAGAAUCAGAUUUUUAAAAUGAGAUUGCAAGCUUUAUUGAUCCGAAAUUACUUGUUAACACAAAAGCGUUUUUUAAAAUUAGGCCAAACACCCCCAUAUAUAUAUAUAUAUAUAUAUUAUAUAUAUAUAUAUAUAUAUUAUUUUUGAGCUAGAAUACUUCUAUAGAAAACGGACUCUGUUGCCAUUCAUGUUUCGAUGAUGGAGCCUCCAAAUCGACGAUCGGCACCGUUAAACAUGAUCUUUACCAUUGAAGUGUUUAGAAAUCAAAUUUAAUACAUUUCGAUAUUGUUCUCUUAUCAUCGGAUGACACAAAAAUGAAUGACUCAAAAUAAAUAUUCUUUAAAAAAUGAUGAUAGGAGUUAUGUAAUCAAGAUCAAGAGUAUAGAUCUAUUUAAAAUAGUUUAAAGAAUUUUCUAUCAAAAAUUCAAUUGAUUUGGAUAUCUUUACGCCGUUAAACAAGAAAACGCCUCAUAUCGACCAUUAAAAUUAAAUUUUAAAACCCUUUAAUCAUUAGACAAAUGAUGUCGAAAAGAUUUGAAAUUUAAUUUCUAAACACUUCAAGUAGUAUAGAUCAUGUUCAACGGUACGAUCGUCAAUUUGGGUGCUCUAUCAUCGAAAACAAAUAGGUGGCAACGGAGCCCGUUUGCUAACGAUAGUAUUCUAGCUCAACUCUCUCUCUCUCUCUCUCUCUCUCUCUCUCUCUCUCUCUCUCUCUCUCUCUCUCUCUCUCUAUAUUAUAUAUUAUAUAUAUAUAUAUAGUGUAGAGUUACUAUGCUAUCGGAAGCAUAAAGAAGUUGGUCCUUUCGAUUAUUUAGCCCUUUGAUUAAAAAUUAUACGGUUAGAAUGAUAGUGAUCCCUUAGGGUUGAGUGGUCCCCCUAGGGUUGAAUAAUUUCCAUUCGGUCAUAAUAAUAAUCCAAUGAUUAAAAACGAUCAAGGGGAUUGACCCAAGGGCUAAAAAAUCGGAAGCACUAACUAUCUUAUGCUUCCGAUAACAUAGUAACUCUCUCUCUCUCUCUCUCUCUCUCUCUCUCUCUCUCUCUCUCUAUAUAUAUAUAUAUAUAUAUAUAUAUAACUAGGCUAUCAGUAGCACGGAGGCCUCCGUGCUACCAAGUUGUUUUCGACGAUGCGGCUUUCAAAUCAACGAUCGGCUCCGUUAAACUUAAUCUACACUAUUGAAAAUAUUUGAAAACUAAAUUUCAUAAUUUUUCAACAUUAUUUGGCUAGUGAUCAAAAGGUCUCAAAAAUUACAAUUUGAAUGGGCGAUAUGAUGUGUUUGUGAAUUUAAUAGUGUAAAAUAAUUCAAAUCUGAUUAAAUUUUUAGAGAAAACUCUUUUCACUAUUUAGAGUAAUAUUUGUACCUCUUAUCUUAAAUUAAGUCUUUUAUCAUUAUUUUUUAUGAGAUUUUUAUUUUCAGCCGUUCAUUUUUAGACUGUUUGAUAGGUAAUGAUGUCGAAAAAUUAUGAAAUUUAAUUUUCAAAUACUUUUUAUAGUGUAGAAAGUCUAAUGGAGUCGAUCUUUGAUUUGGAAACCGAAUCAUCGAAAACAAAUUGGUAGCACAGAGAUCUCCCUGUUACCGAUAGUAUACCAGUCGGACUAUAUAUAUAUAUAUAUAUAUAUAUAUAUAUAGGGUCCGGCUACUAUACUAUUAUGAGUACGAUCGCUCUCGUACUCGUAAAUCACUUUCAAUGAUAGAGCUUUCGAAUCGACGAUCCAUAUCGUUAAACGUUAUUUACAGCAGUUAAAACUUCUAGAAAUCAAAUUUUAUAAUUUUUAGAGAGACUUAAAUUUAAAUUUUUAAAACUUAAAAUUUAAAUUUAAAAAAUUAAAAAUUUAUAAUUUGAAGAUUAAAUUAUAAUUUAAAAUUUAAAAAUUUAAAAUUUUUAAAUUUAAAUUUUAAAAUCUAAAAUGUCAAUUUUAAAUUUUAUCUUAAAUUUGAAUUUGAAUUUUUAAAAUCUAAAAUUUGAGAUGUGAAAUUUAAAAUUAAAAUUUAAAAUUUAAAAUUUAAAAUUUAAAGUUUGAAAUCUAUUUUUCAAUUUUAAAAUUUGAAAGUUAAUAUUUAAAAUUCAAAAAUGAAUCUGAAUAUUAAAAUUUAAAUUAAAUUUAAAUUUAAACAUUGAAUUUAAAAUAAAUAAAAAAUUAGAAGUUUGAAUCCAAAAUCAGAAUCAGAUUUCAAGAAGCAGUUUUUUCUAUUUCUGAUUAUGGGGCCAUCAAAUUCAAUUUUCUGAUUCGAAAAGUAAGCAUCAGAUUUUAAAAAUGAGUUCGCCAACGCUUUAUUGAUCCGAAAUUACUUGUUAACCAAAAAGCGUUUUUUAAAAAUUAGGCCAAACACCCCAUAUAUAUAUAUAUAUAUAUAUUAUAUAUAUAUAUAUGAGCUAGAAUACUAUCUAUAGAAAACGGACUCUGUUGCCAUUCAUUUGUUUUCGAUGAUAGAGCCUCCAAAUCACGGAUCGGCACCGUUAAACAUGUAUCUAUACCACUUGAAGUGUUUAGAAAUCAAAUUUAAUACAUUUUCAAUAUUGUUCUCUUAUCCAUCGGAUGAACACAAAAAUGAAUGACUCAAAAAUAAAUAUUCUUUAAAAAAUGAUGAUAGGAGUCAUGUAAUCAAGAUCAAGAGUAUAGAUCUUAUUUAAAAUAGUUUAAGAAUUUUCUAUCAAAAUUCAAUUGAUUUGGAUAUCUUUACGCCGUUAAACAAGAAACGCAUCAUAUCGACCAUUAAAAUUACAAAUUUUAAACCCCUUUAAUCAUUAGACAAAUGAUGUCGAAAAGAUUUUGAAAUUUAAUUUCUAAACACUUCAAGUAGUAUAGAUCAUGUUCAACGGUACCGAUCGUCAAUUUGGAUGCUCUAUCAUCGAAAACAAUAGGUGGCAACGGCGCCCGUUUGCUAACGAUAGUAUUCUAGCUCAACUCUCUCUCUCUCUCAUCUCUCUCUCUCGUCUCUCUCUCUCCCCUCUCUCUCUCCAUCCUCCUCUCUCCUCUCUCUAUAUAUAUAUAUAUAUAUAUAUAUAGUGUAGAGUUACUAUACUAUCGGAAGCAUAAGAAGCUGGUCCUUUCGAUUAUUUAGCCCUUGGAUCAAAAAUUAUACGGUUAGAAUGAUAGUGAUCCCUUAGGUUGAGUGUCCCCCUAGGGUUGAAUAAUUUUCAUUCGGUCAUAAUAAUAAUCCAAUGAUUAAAACGAUCAAGGGGAUUGACCCAAGGGCUAAAAAUCGGAAGCACUAACUAUCUUAUGCUUCCGAUAACAUAGUAAACUCUCUCUCUCUCUCUCUCCUCCUCCUCUCUCCUCUCUAUAUAUAUAUAUAUAAUGUAUAUAUAUAUAUAUAGAACUAGGCUAUCAGUAGCACGGAGGCCUCCGAGCUACAGUGUUUUUCGACGAUGCGGUUUUCAAAUCAACUAUCAGCUCCGUUAAACUUAAUCUACACUAUGAAAUAUUUAAAAAUAAAUUUCAUAAUUUUUCAACAUUAUUUGGCUAGUGAUCAAAAGGUCUAAAAAAUUAACAAUUUGAAUGGGCGAUAUGAUGCGUUUUGUGAAUUUAAUAGUUUAAAUAAUUCAAAUCUGAUUAAAUUUUUAGAGAAAACUCUUUUCACUAUUUAGAGUAAUAUUCGUAACUCUCAUUUAAAUUAAAUCUUUAUCAUUAUUUUUUAUGAGAUUUUUAUUUUCAGCCGUUCAUUUUUAGACUACUGUUUGAUAGGUAAUGAUGUCGAAAAAUUAAUAUGAAAUUUAAUUUUCAAAUACUUUUAUAGUGUGAAAGUCUAAUGGAGUCGAUCUUUGAUUGUGAAACCGAAUCAUCGAAAACAAAUUGGUAGCACAGAGAUCUCCCUGUUACCGAUAGUAUACCAGUCGGACUAUAUAUAUAAGGUUCCGGCUACUAUACUAUUAUGAGUACGAUCGCUUGUACUCAUAAAUCACUUUCAAUGAUAGAGCUUUCGAAUCGACGAUGCCAUAUCGUUAAACAUUAUUUACAGCAUUUAAACUUCUAGAAAAAUCAAAUUUUAUAAUUUUUCGAAACAUCAUUUACCUUACGAUCAAAAGGUCACAAAUUUGAUAAUUUUUAAUAGCCGGUAUGGGAUACUUGCUAGUUUAACAGUGUAAAAGAAUCGGAUUUGUUGAAUUUUUGAUAGAAAAUUCUAAUUCACUACCUAGAUAAAGGUCAAUAACUCCGAUCUUGAAUUGAAGGAUCCGAUCAUCCUUUUUAGGACGUCGUUCGAUUUGACCGUUCAUUUUAUGCCCGCUUGAUGGACUUUAUUAUGAUUUCCGAAAAUUUACGAAAUUUAUUUUCUAGAAUUUCAAAUACUCUAGAUCAUAUUAACGGAAGUGGAUCGUCAAUUCGGAAGGUCCAUCAUUGAAAACAACUUAUGAGUACGAGGUCUCCAAUACUCAUAAUAGUAUAUAGGCCACGACCUAAUAGUGUCCGGCUACUAUAUAUUAUGAGUACGAUCGCUCUCGUACUCAUAAAAUCGCUUUCAAUGAUAGAGCUUUCGAAUUGACGAUCCGUACCGUUAAACGUUAUUUACAGCAUUUAAAACUUUUGAAAUCAAAUUUUAUAAUUUUUCGACUUCAUUUACCUUUACGAUCAAGAGGUCACAAAUUUGACAUUUUUAAUGGCCGGUAUAGGAACUUGCUAGUUUAAAUAGUGUAAAAGAAUCGAAAUUUGUUGAAUUUUUGAUAGAAAAUUCUAUUCACUAUCUAGAUAACAAGGUCAAUAACUCCGAUCUUAAAUUGAACGGAUUCAUCAUCCUUUUUUAGAACUUCGUUCGAUUUAACCGGUGUCAUUUUAUGCCCGCUUGAAUGGACUUUAUUUAUGAUUUCGAAAAUUUAACGAAUUUAUUUUCUAGAAGAGUUUCAAAUACUCUAAGAUCAUAUUUAACGAAGUGGAUCGUCAAUUCGGAAGCUCCAUCAUUGAAAACAACUUUAUGAGUACGAGUCUCCAAUACUCAUAAUAAGUAUAAGUAGCCACGACCUAUAGGUCCGGCUACUAUACUAUUAUGAGUACGAUCGCUCUCGUACUCAUAAAUCGCUUUUAAGAUAGAGCUUUCGAAUCGACGAUGCCAUACGUUAAACGUUAUUUACAGCAUUUAAAACUUCUAAAAAUCAAAUUUAUAAUUUUUCGACAUCAUUUACCUUACGAUCAAGAGGUCACAAAUUUGACAAUUUUUUAAUGGCCGGUAUAGGAUACUUGCUAGUUUAACAGUGUAAAGAAUCGAAAUUUGUUGAAUUUUUGAUAGAAAAUUCUAUUCACUACCGUAGAUAAAGGUCAAUAACUCCGAUCUUGAAUUGAAGGAUCUGAUCAUCCUUUUUUAGGACGUCGUUCGAUUUUGACCAUUCAUUUUAAUGCCGCUUGAUGGACUUAUUGAUGAUUUCGAAAAUUUACGAAAUUUAUUUUUAAAAGUUUCAAUACUCUAGAUCAUAUUUGACGGAGUGGAUCGUCAAUUCGGAAGCUCCAUCAUUGAAAAACAACUUAUGAGUACGAGGUCUCCAUACUCAUAAUAGUAUAAGUGCCACGACUAUAGGUCCGGCUACUAUACCUAUUAUGAGUACGAUCGCUCUCGUACUCAUAAAUCGCUUUCAAUGAUAGAGCUUUCGAAUCGACGACCCAUACCGUUAAAAUGUUAUUUACAGCAUUUAAAACUUCUAGAAAUCAAAUUUUAUAAUUUUUCGACAUCAUUUACGCUACGAUCAAGAGUCACAAAUUUGACAAUUUUUAAUGGCCGGUAUGGAUACUUGCUGUUUACGUGUAAAGAAUCGAAAUUUGUUGAAUUUUUGAUAGAAAAUUAUUCACUAUCUAAUAAAGGUCAAUAACUCGAUCUUGAAUUGAAGGAUCCGAUCAUCCUUUUUAGGACGUCGUUCGAUUUUGACCGUUCAUUUUAUGCCCGCUUGAUGGACUUUAUUAUGAUUUCGAAAAUAUACGAAAUUUAUUUUCUAGAAGUUUCAAAUCUCUAGAUCAUAUUUAACGGAGUGGAUCGUCAAUUCGGAGCUCCAUCAUUGAAAACAACUUAUGAGUACGAGGUCUCCAAUACUCAUAAUAGUAUAGUAGCCACGACCUAUAUAAUAUAUAUAUAUACAUAUAUAUAUAUAUAUAUAUAUAUAUAUAUAUAUUAGUAUAUAUAUANNNNNNNNNNNNNNNNNNNNNNNNNCGACAUCAUUUACCUUACGAUCAAAAGGUCACAAAUUUGAUAAUAUUUUUAAUAGCCGUAUGGGAUAGCUGCAGUUUAACAGUGUAAAAAGAAUCGGAUUUGUUGAAUUUUUGAUAGAAAAUUUCUAUUCACUACCUAGAUAAAGGUCAAUUAACUCCGAUCUUGAAUUGAGGACCGAUCAUCCUUUUUAGGACGUCGUUCGAUUUUACUCGUUCAUUUUAUGGGCCCAGCUUGAUGGACUUUAUUAGAUUGUCCGAUAAUCUUAACGAAAUUUAUUUUCUAGAAGUUUCAAAUACUACUAAGAUCAUAUUUAACCUGGAGUGGAAUUCGUCAAUUAUCGGAAGGCUCCAUCAUUGAAACAACUUAUGAGUACGAGUCUCCAUACUCAUAAUAGUUAUAGGCCAACGACCUAAGUAGUGUCGCGGCUACUAUAAUAUUAUGAGUACGAUCGCUCUCGGACUCAUAAAAUCGCUUUCAAUGAUAGAGCUUUCGAAUUGACGAUCCGUACCGUUAAAACGUAUUUACAGCAUUAAACUUUUAGAAAAUCAAAUUUUAUAAUUUUUCGAACUUCAUUUACCUUUACGCAUCAAGAGGUCACAAAUUUGACAAUUUUUAAACUGCCGGAUAGGAAUCUGUUGCUAUUUAAAUAGGUGUAAAAAAUCGAAAUUUGUUGAAUUUUUGAUAAGAAAUUCCUAUUCACUAUCUAGAUAACAAGGUCAUAACUCCGACCUUAAAUUGAAGGAAUUCAUCAUCCUUUUUAGAACUUCGUUCGAUUUUAAUCCCGGUUCAUUUUAUGCCGCGCUUUGAUUGACUUAUUUAUCGAUUUCGAAAUUUAACGAAAUUUAUUUUCUAAGAAAAAAAGUUUCAAAUAACUCUAGAUCAUAUUUAACGAAGUGGAUCGUCAAUUCGGAAGCUCCAUACAUUGAAAACAACGUUUAUGAGACGAGUCCUCCAAUACUCAUAAAUAAGUAUAAGUAGCCACGACCUAUAGGUCCGGCUACUAUACUAUUAUAAGUAACGAUCGCUCGUCGUACUCAUAAAUCGCUUUUUUUUUAAGUAGACUUUCGAAUCGACGAUCCAUAACCGUUAACGUUAUUUACAGCAUUAAAAACUCUAAAAAUCAAAUUCUAUAAUUUUUCGACAUCAUUUACCUUAGAUCGAAGAGGUCACAAAUUUGACAUUUUUAAUGGCCGGUAUAGGAUAACCUUGCUAGUUUAACAAGUGUAAAGACAUCGAAAAAUUUGUUGAAUUUUUGAUAGAAAUUCUAUUUAUAUAUAUAUAUAUAUAUAUAUAUAUAUAUAUAUAUAUAUAUGCUAGGGCUACUACCCUCUCAAGAGGAUAGUAGCACUUGUCCUCUCAAGUUGUUCUUGAGGAUAGAGAUUGCGAAUCGAUGAUCGGAGCCGUUGAAGUUGACCUAGAGUAUUUGAAAUAUAUAGAAACUAAAUUUCAUAAAUUUUAAAAAUUAUUUACAUGGUGGUCCAAAAUUGUGGUGAUUAAAGUGUCGUAGAACCGACAAUUUUUGACGGCUUGUAUGAGCCGUUUGCUUAUUUAACGGUGUAGAGCAACAAAUUGUUUGAAUUUUUGAUAGAAAAUUCUUUAUACUAUUUAGAUAAUGUUUGAUAACUCUGAUUAUGAAUUGAGAAAGUCUAGCCUCUAUUUUAAGAAGCUUAUUCAUUUAUAACCAUUCAUUUUACAACUCUUCGAUGAACUUGAUAAUGAUUUUUAAAUAUUACAAAAUUUAGUUUCUAAAUAUUUCUAAUUGUGUAGAUCAAUUUCAACGGUGCCAAUCAUCAAUUUGAAAUUUCGAUAAUUCAAAACAACUUGAUAGGACAAUAUCCUCAACCUAUUAAUAGGAUAGUAGAUGGACUACAUAUAAAUAGAAAGAGAGAGUGAGUGAGCUGGUAUGCUUCUGGAUGCACGAAGCCUUCCGUGCUUCCAAAUCAUUUUCGAUGUUUGGACUUUCGAAUCGACGAUUGGCUCCGUUAGAGUUGAUCUAGAGUAAUUGAAGUACCGAGAAAAUAAAUUUUGUGAUUUUUCGAUAUCAUUUGCCUAGUGAUUGAAGGGCUCAAAAUCAAUAAUUUUAUUGGCCAUGGUGAGCCGUUUGCAAAUUUAACAGUGUAGAAAUAUCUAAAUCACGUGAAAUUUUGAUAGAAAAUUCUUUAUAUUAUAUAAAACAAUAUCAAUAACUUUGAUCUAAAAUUUUAAUGUCAUAUCAUCAUAUUUUGUAAGAUUUUUAUUUUCAACCGUUGAUUUUGAGCCCCUUCGAUCACUAUGCAAAUAAUAUCGAAAAAUCACAAAAUUUAUUUUCUAGAUACUUAAAAUACUAUAGAUCAAGUCAAAUGGAGCCGAUCGUCGAUUCGAAAGUCCGAACAUCAAAAACGACUUGGAUAGACGCAAUAUAUAUAUAUAUAGUAGGUCUUGUGUGCUCUUAGGAGCACGGAGGCCUCCGUGCUCCUAAACCGUAUUCGAUGAUGGAGCUUCCGAAUCGACGAUCGACUCCUUUAGACUUGAUCUAGCAUAUUUGACGUAUCUAGAAAAUAAAUUUUGUGACUUUUCGAUAUCAAUUACCUAAAGAUCGAAAGGGUUCAAAAUCAACGGCUCAAAAUAAAAAUCUCACAAAAAGUGAUGAUAUAGCAUUAAAAUUUUCGAUCAAACAUAUUGAUCUUGCUGUAAAUAGUAUAAAGAAUUUUCUAUCAAAAUUUCAUCUGAUUUGAAUACUUCUACACCAUUAAACUUGUAAACGGUAUACAUCAACUAUUAAAAAUUGUUGAUUUUGAACCCUUUCGAUUGCUAAGAAAAUAAUACCGAAAAUCACAAAAAUUAUUUUCUAGAUAGUUCAAAUACGCUAGAUGAAGCAUCUAUCAUAAAAAAUGGCUUAGAGUAUGGAGGCUCCGUGCUUCUAAUAGCACACAUGACCUACUAUAUAUAUAUUAUAUAAUAUUAAUAUAUAUAUAUAUAUAAUAUAUAUAAUAUAUAUUAUAUAACACACACACACAUACACACCGCGCACUACAAAAACUUGCAACUUAAGGAUACUUAAUACAAUAAUUAGCGACGCUUUAAAGCGUCAGCAAAAUAAUUCCGACGCUUGUAAAAGUGUCGAGCAAAAAGUCGUUAAAUAAACAUGUCGGGAUAAAAUAUACCGACGUUUAAUAUAGCGUUAAAAAAUUUUUAUAAAUAUUUGAUAAAAAAUAUGUUUAUUUGCGAUGUUAAUCAUAGUGUCGGCAAAUUCAAAUAUAAAAAAGUUAGAAAAAAGUAUCGUCUAAAAAUUAUUUUAUUGUAAUGAUAUAUAUAUAUAUAUAUAGAGAGUUGUGCGUGGUAUGCUUAUGGAAGCACGGAGGCCUCCGUGCUUCCAAAUUGCUUUCGAUUUUUAGACUUUCAAAUCGAUAAUGCGCCUCCUUAGAGUGAUUCUAGAGUAUUUGAAGUACCUAGGAAAUAAAUUUUGGAUUUUUCGAUAUCAUUUGGCCUAGUGAUCGAAGGGGCUCAAAAUUAAUAAUUUUAACGGUCGUGGUGAGCCGGUUGCAAUUUAACGGUGUAGAAAUAUCCAAAUCCACGUGAAAUUUUGAUGAAAAUUCUUUAUACCAUAUAAACAAGAUCAAUAACUUUGAUCUAAAAUUUAAUGUCAUAUCAUCAUAUUUUUGUAAGAUUUUUAUUUUUAGCCGUUGAUUUGAGCCACUUCGAGUCACUAGCAAAUGAUAUCGAAAAAUCGUAAAAUUUAUUUUCUAAAUACUUCAAAUACUCUAGAUCAAGUCUAACGAGUCGAUCAUUGAUUCGAAGUCGACACAUCGAAAACAAGUGGAAGGCACGGAGCCCUCCGUGCUUAUGGAAGCACCUAGGCGCACUCUAUAUAUAUUAUAUAUAUUAUAUAUAAUUCUGAUAUAUAUAUAUAUAUAUAUAUAUAUAUAUGUUCGGCUACUAUACUCUUAUAAAUAUGAUCGGCCUCGUGCUCAUAAGUUGUUUUCAAUUAUAGAGCUUCCGAAUCGACGAUCCACACCGUUAAAUAUUAUCUAAAAUAUUUAAAACGUUUAGAAAUCAAAUUUUAUAAAUUUUUGACAUCAUUUAUCUUACGAUCAAAAAGUUAUAAAAUUGAUAAUUUUUAAUGAUCAGUAUGGGAUAUUUGCUAGUUUAACGAUGUAAAAGAAUCGAAAUCAGUUGUAUUUUUGAUAGAAAAUUUUAUUCACUACAUAAAUAAAAAUCAAUAACUCCAAUCUUAAAUUGAAGGAUCCGAUCAACCAUUUUUAAGACGUCGUUCGAUUUAGGCCAUUCAUUUUCUACCCACUUGAUGAACUUUCUUAUGAUUUUAAAAAAUUACGAAAUUUAUUUUUUAGAAGUUUCAAAUACUCUAAAUCAUAUUUAACAGAGUGGAUCAUCAUUUCGGAAGCUCCAUCAUUGAUAACAGCUUAUGAGUAUGAAGUGCUCUAUACUCAUAAGAAUAUAGUAAUCCUAGCAUAUAUAUAUAUAUAUAUAUAUAUAUAUAUAGUUGAGCUCCUAUGUUUUUAAAAGUACCAUGACAUUGGUACUUGUAAAUUUUUAGCUUUUGAAUUAAGAAUUGUGUGGUUAGGAUGAUGUAGGUUCCCUAAGGUUGAGUGGGUGGUUGGUUGAAUAGUAUAAUCUAACGGGUAUAAAUGGUCAACGGUACAAAUCUAAUGGUUAAAACCUACAAACACCAAGUGCUUUGUGCUUUUAAGAGCACCAUAGCCGGACUCUCUCUCUCUCUCUCUCUCUCUCUCUCUAUAUAUAUAUAUAUAUAAUAAUUUUUUAAAAAAGUAUCAAAUAUUUGGCGCGUGUAAAUUUUUCACCAUUAAAUCUAUUUUUUGCUAAAUUCCAUUCUUUAAAUUAUGAUACUUCACCAACCAUCAACUCAAUUCUAGAAGUCUCUUAUUAUCCUAACAGUACAUAUAUGGAACGUCAUUCCAUGUCGUAGUAUAGGUUGCAUGUAAAUGGAUUAAAUAUUUUAUUAUGUAGUGGACAAUAAUUUUUUCGUUCCCAAGUUCUUUUCCAUUCCGAGUACUGGUAGGAUUAUAAAGUUCUCUCUCUCAUUAAGAUAAUCACAAUUCAAUUAAACUCUACAAAUUAAGUCCACUUAAACAAACUUGCGCCAGUUGAGCAGUCCAAUUAACUAACUAAUUAAAUAUAAAUUAUUUCAGAUAAAAAUAAGCUAAUAAAUUGCAAAUUUAAAUUUCUCCUCAUUCAUAAUUUACUCACAUGGGUUAUUCCAUCUAAAACCAUAUGCAUUAUUGUGAGGUUUGGUUUAGGGGAGGAGAAAUGUAAUUAAUAACUCUUCAGCACCUCCGGCGCGAUUGGGGGUCGAGAGGAGCGAGAAGAACAUGUGAGUCACUUAUGAAUGAGGACAAAUUUUAAUUUGCAAUUUUUUACCUUAUUUUUAUCUCGAAUAGUUUAUAUUUAAUUAGUUAGUUAAUUGGAUUGUUUGACCGGCUCAAGUUUGUUUAAGUAGACUUUGUAGAGUUUAAUUGACUUGUGAUUAUCUCAAUGAGAGAGACUAUACAACUCUCGAUGUACGAAGAAAGGAAAAGCACUUCCCCAACAAAUAAAUAAUUGUUCAGUACAUAAUAAAAUAUUUUUUGUCCAAUAAUACACGACCUAUACCACGAGCCUACGUACGAGCGAAAAUUUCUACUUAAUUAAUUGACCUUUAUUUUUUAUUUCUCUAUUACUCCUCUACUUUUAUCUUGAUCCCCAUUUGAGAAAGGACCUUUAUUUUAGUGAGUCUUUAAAUUUCAGAGAAUAGUUUUCAGAGAUUGAAAGUAAAGAUGAAUAACAGCAUCGACAGCUGGAAUUUAAGUGAAAUGUUGUUUAGUUCGGCAGACUUAAUUUGCUAAAAUUAUUCACCAAACAUUAAUUUCCAUCUCAAUCUGAUUACCUCAUCAAACUUUGCAUAAUUUUUAAACAAAACAAAAAAACGAUAGCUAAUUUAGUUACCACAUAAUUAAGUAUAACUAGUGAAAUAUCCGCGCGAUGCUGCGGAUCUAAAAUAUUUUUACUUUUAAAUUUUAUUUUUUUAAUAUUUUUAUAUAGUGUUAUAAGUCUAAUUAUUAAUUAAAUAAAAAUCAUAUAAAAAUAAUUUAAUAGUUAAAUCUAUUUAAAUAAAAGUCAUUAAAAUUGGUAUAUGCGCAAAUAAAUUUAUACAUCACUUUAUUUUAUAAAGAUUUCUGUGAGAAGGAUUUGAGAUAAAUCUAUCAAAAUAAUUUUUAAAAAAUCAAUUGAUAGAAGGGAAAUAAAUUUGUAGAAGAAGUUGCUUAAUAAAAUUAAUUAUAUAUAUAUAUAUAUACACAUAUACGCUAUAUUUUUAAAAUUUUUCACUUGAAAUUUAAAUUAUGUAUUUUUUUAUACAACGAUAGUUUACGUAAUUUAAAUUAAAUCUAUCAUGUUAAAUUUUAUUAUGCGAUUUAUUACGCGUAUUAUUAAUAAAUUAAUUAAUUAAUUUCAUGAAAUUUAAAUUAUGUAUUUUUUUAUACAACGAUAUUUUACGUGAUUUAAAUUAAAUCUAUCAUGUUAAAUUUUAUUAUGCGAUUUAUUACGCGUAUUAUUAGUAAAAUUAAUUAAUUAAUUUCACAGAGUUUAAAGAUUUAAAAUUUUAAAUUUUGAAGAAAUUUAAAUUAUGUAUUUUUUUAUACAACGAUAUUUUACGUGAUUCAAAUUAAAUCUAUCAUGUUAAAUUUUAUUAUGCGAUUUAUUACGUGUAUUAUUUAUAAAAUUAAUUAAUUAAUUUCAUAGAGUUUAGAGAUUUAAAAUUUUAAAUUUUAAAGUUACAAAAUUGCAAAUAAAUAUUUAAAAUAUAAAAUUUAAAUUUAAAACUUUAAAAUUUGAAAGUAUCAAAAUUUUAAAUUUUGAUAUCAAAAUUUAAAAUUAUGUAUAUAUAUAUAGAGAGAGAGAGAGAGAGAGAGAGAGAGAGUAAAGUAGGGUUUGGGGGGAGGGGGUGACACGUGUCACUCUAUGUGCCCCCCAAACCAUCCUCUAAUGUAAAAGAAUAGAUUUAAAUUAAAUUUAUCAUGUUAAAUUUUAUUAUGCGAUUUAUUAUGCGUAUUAUUAAUAAAUUAAUUAAUUAAUUUCAUGAAAUUUAAAUUAUGUAUUUAUUUAUACAACGAUAUUUUACGUGAUUUAAAUUAAAUCUAUCAUGUUAAAUUUUAUUCUGUGAUUUAUUACGCGUAUUAUUAAUAAAAUUAAUUAAUUAAUUUCAUAGAGUUUAGAGAUUUAAAAUUUUAAAUUUUGAAGAAAUUUAAAUUAUGUAUUUUUUUAUACAGCAAUAUUUUACGUGAUUUAAAUUAAAUCUAUCAUGUUAAAUUUUAUUAUGUGAUUUAUUACGUGUAUUAUUAAUAAAAUUAAUUAAUUAAUUUUAUAGAGUUUAGAGAUUUAAAAUUUUAAAUUUUGAAGUUACAAAAUUGGAAAUAAAUAUUAUAAGUUAAAAUUGAAAUUUAGAAUUUAAAAUUUGAAAGUAUCAAAAUUGUAAAUUUUGAUAUCAAAAUUUAAAAUUAUAUAAAUAUAUAUAUAGAGAGAGAGAGAGAGAGAGAGUAAAGGAGGGUUUGGAGGGGAGGGGGUGACACGUGUCACCCUAUGGCCCCCCAAACCCUCCUUUAAUAUAAAACUAAUACCUGCGCGAUGCUGCGGAUAUAAAAUUUUUUUUAAUAAAUUUUAAUUUUUUAUAAUUUAAAAUAAUUUUAUAAGUCUAACUAUUAAUUAAAUAAAAGUUAUAUAAAAAUAAUUUAAUAAUUAAUUUUAUUUAAAUAAAAUUUAUUGAAACGGCAACUUAUUUUAUAAAGAUUUAUGUGAAAAAAGAUUUGAGAUAAAUAUAUCAAAAGAAUUUUAAAAAUUAAUAAAUAGAAGGGAAAUAAAAUAAUAGAAGAAUUUGUUUAAUAAAAUUAAUUUUAUAUAUAUACACACGCGCACUAUAUUUAUAAAAUCUUACUCCUCAAAUUUAAAUUAUGUAUUUUUUUAUACAUCGAUCAAAUUAGAUUUUAUUAUGCGAUUUAUUACGUGUAUUAUUAAUAAUAUUAAUUAAUUAUAUUAUAUACAAUGAAUUUAUUAAUAAAAUUAAUUAAUUAAUUAAUUUCAUAGAGUUUAGAGAUUUAAAAUUUUAAAACGACAGAUCUCUCAUAUCAAUAAGAAUAAUGUAUAUUACAGCAAUAUAUAGUAUAGUAUAUAUAUAGAUAUAUAAUAAUAUAUAUUAUUAUAUAUAUAAAUAAUAUAUUAUAAAAUCAUAUAUAUAUAAGUUGAGCUACUAUGCUUUAAAAGUACCAUGACAUGGUACUUGUAACUUAUUUAGCUUUUGAAUUAAGAAUUGUGUGGUUAGGAUGAUGUAGGUCCCCUAAGGUUGAGUGGGUGGUUGUUGAAUAGUAUAAUCUAACGGGUGUAAAUGAAUCAACGGUACAAAUCUAAUGGUUAAAACCUACAAACACCAAGUGCUUUGUGCUUUUAAGAGGAAUGAAAACACCAUAGCCGGACUCCUCUCUCUCUCUCUCGUCCUUCUCCUCUCUCCUAUCUAGUAUUAUANNNNNNNNNNNNNNNNNNNNNNNNNUUUUGAAGUUUAAAAUUUGAAAAUAAUAUUAGAAAUUAAAUUGAAAUUUAAAAUUUUAAAAUUUGAAAGUAUCAAAAUUUAAUUUUGAUAUCAAUAUAUAUUAUAUAUAUAUAUAUUAUAUAUAUAUAUAUAUAUAUAUAAAAUUUUGAAGUUAAAAUUUAGAAAUAAAUAUAUAAAUUAAAUUUGAAAUAUAAAAUUUAAAAUUUUUGAAAGUAUCAAAAUUUUAAAUUUUGAUUUCAAUAUAUAUAUAUAUAUAUAUAUAUAUAUAUAUAUAUAUAUAUAUAAUAAAGAGUUGAGCUAGAAUACUCUCGAUAGUAAACGAGCCCGUUUACUCUCGAGUUGUUUCGAUGAUAGAGCUUCCAAAUUGACGAUCGGCUCCGUUAAAUAUGAUCUAAACAUUUAAACUACCUAGAAAUCAGAUUUCACCACUUUCAAUAUUGUUUUAUAUCCAUCUAGUGAACAGAAAAAUGAAUGGCUGAAAAUGAAUAUUAUUUAAAAAUAUGAUAGGAGUCUUGUAAUCAAGAUCAAGAGUAUAGAUCUUGUUUUAAAUAGUUUAAAGAAUUUUCUAACAAAAAUUCAAUUGAUUUGAAUAUCUUUACACCGUUAAACGAGAAAACGUCUCUUAUCCCCAUUAAAAUUACAAAUUUUGAAACCCUUUGAUCAUUAGGCAAAUGAUGUCGAAAAGAUUUGAAAUUUGAUUUCUAACACUUCAAGUGGUAUAAAUCAUGUUCAACGGAGCCGAUCGUCAAUUUGGAAGCUCUAUCAUCGAAAACAACUCGAGAGUAAACGGGCUCGUUUACUCUCGAGAGUAUUCUAGCUCAACUCUAUAUAUAAUAUAUAUAUAGGAAGAGAGAGUACAAGAGGGAUUUGGGGGGACACGUGUCACCCCAAGGUUCCCCAAACCCUCCUUUAAUGUAGAGAAAAAUAGAUAAAGAAUAGAUUUAUUUAAAUUUUAUCUAUAGACUAGGGAUGAUCAAACUUAGCGGAAUUACAAUUAGAUGGGAUAUUUUACCACAGUAGAUCAAUGACAAUUAACUAUUAAAUUUGUACGUCUAAACAAAUUCCAUUAUCUAAAUUUCGAAACCACAACGCCCGCAUAUUAAAAUGUCAUUUAUUUAGUUAAAAGUUCAUGUUCUUCGCCUACGGCAAGUCUCGAUUUAUUACGUAAUUAACUUACAAAUAGCUUACGCGUAAAAACGCAAGUUCUUAUAAACGAAAAGUACAACUUCACGUGCAUGCCAACUUCACAUAUGUUUAAAAUAUUGAAUUUAGAAAAAAAAAAAAAAAAAAAAGAGACUAGCUCACUUUCCAAGGCUCGUAUUUAAAUAUUCCUCCUCGAUUCCAUGACAUCUGAACUGCCCAAAACAAAAUCGACAUAUGGGUGCGUCAUGCAUGGCGAGGUCAAACAAUACAAUUAGGUGCAACAUGCAUGGCGAGGUAGAAUGGUAGAUCAUACACUUCCCAUCAUAGGAUUAACAAAAGUUCAAUAAUUUUUCAGUAAAAAUCAAAAAAUAUCGAUAUAACAAGUAAAAAAUAUAUGGUCAUUGGAGAGAAUAGGGUAAGAUAUACACCAUACUUUGGGCUAUAAUUAACUAUAUAUUCUUUAUCCACACUCCUAAUUAUAUUAAUAUAGAAAUUCCUCUAAAACGAUCAAUAUAAAAAUAUCUUUCUAAUUUAAUAUAUAUAUUAUAUAAAAUAUUCAUAUUUAUAAUAAUCAAUCUAAAAAUUGAAACGAAAUUUUUAUUUUGGUCAUUAUUCAUCACCAAUGCAGUUUUAAUCACUUAAAGAUUUUUGGUGAAAAUAUUAUAAGAAUGCAGUCGAAUGUACACCAUAUUAAAACUUACUGGUUAUGAAUUAAUGGUGAUAUAUAAAUACAAAGCUGGUUAUGAAUAGCAAAUUAAAGGAACUUUUACGAAAGUGACAUCAUCAUCAUAAUCAUCAUCAUCAUCAUCAUUAUGUUUUAAUAUUAAGGUUUGCGCGCAGGUAAGUUGUGCGGCGGUGAGUUCGAGUACCAUACAUUGUCUAUAAAUAGAGGCAGCCUGGAAGCAGCUCUCCACCCAAUCCGUCUACCGCCCAUUGAGAGGACAAACAUAUAGGCACAUACAGGCACAUAUAGCUAGCUAGCUAGAAGAGCCAUGGCUUCGAGCUGGUGAGCUACGAGAUUACCCACGACAACAUCGCCUUGCUGCGCCUGUUGGGACGGGAAACACCUCCUCAGCCUGGCCCUCCAUCAACGAUUUCAAUAAAGCAGUCAGGAGGGCCGUCGAUGACAAUGUGGUCGGCUCAUAACCGUACAGCGCAACUGCGUUCUCGGCGGCCUCGACUACAAUUCGGCCCCGAGGCGGUGUUGGUGGGGGCGUUUGCGAGCCUGAUCGCAAGCCUCAUCAGCUGCCAUUCCGACGGUGGCAGGUGUGACGGGCCAAGCGUACGGGCAGGAUUCACGCUGGCGCUCGCACAUGACUACUUGGUGCUAUCGACUGACUCCACUGUUAGUUUGUGCGCCAAAACGAGCUGACAGAGGCCACGAGGUGCCAUCGUUUGCUGUGGCGCUGCUGUCUGACAGUUCCCGCCGUCGGCUGCUUGGAGCUGGCAGUGUCGACAGUGCCAGUUGCCCCCCCCAAAUUACUCGCCCAUAUCUGACUACGUGGGGAAGUACGUAGGGUGGAGCAUAGAUGAUGUUGCGACAAAACUGCUGGAGCCAGCUGCUGGCCGCGUCGGCACAGCUUACAGUGCCGUGAGGAAGAGUCUGUCUGCCGAGGUGUGGCGCUGGUGAAGCCACAGUAACUCAGCCUAGUUAAUUUGGGCCUGCAUGCAUGCAUGGUCGCCCCCUCGUAUGGCGUAGUAUGUAUCACCGUUAGUAGGUGCGUGUCUGUUGGCUUCGAGUCCGAUUCUGAAACAGUUUGUUGUGCUCGUAUUUCCCUUUGAAUAAAAUAGGGGUGAUGUCCGUCGAUUCGGUCUCUGUCCUCGGCCUUGUAUGGUAAUAAAUUAUGCUUUGUGUGUGUCUUUAUUUAUUAUUUCGAGUGUUUGCUCUUCCAUCUCUGCUUAAGGCUAUGUUAUUUGAACUAGACCUAAUUGAUCUAUCUGCUCAGAAAACACCAGCCCGAUACGAUCUGGAUUGGGCCUGGUCCAUCGAACCAUUUGGAAUUGCGCACGGCUUGGCCUGGUCCGAUGAUCACGACUCGUUCCUUCCCGCCCAGGGCCGAAAGACCUAAAGUUAAGCGCUCGGCGCCAUAGAUCUGUGCAGCAUUGGGACUCGAAGGACAAUCAUCAAAUUAAAAUACACAGACAAUGGCGCGCAUGCUUUGUUCUUCUAACCACCAAACUUUUUACUACUUGCACUAGAAACGAUUAGUUACAAAGAAAAUAUUAUAAAGAGAAUAUGAGAAAUUUGAGGGACUAACUAGUUUUAACAGGUCCAAACACUAAAUUUUCAAUAUGACAAAAAUAACUGCAUGUGAACGUGUGUGUGUAUAUAAUUAAUAUCCACGCACGCUCGACCCGGUUUGUCUAUAUACGAGAGCACAGGAGGCGCGAUCUAAAAUUUGAUCACAUGAUGAGCAAUCCCAGCUAGCAAGAUCUGUUAGCAACUAAUACAUUUAACAUAGUUAUAUAUCCGUAAUAUCGCGGCUUUAAGUAGUAAAUAUUAUAUGUACCCAUCCUGGACUGAAGGUUGAGAUUUAGUUAAAUUUAUAAUUAUAUUCUAACUAGAUUAGGAUGAAUUUUUAAAAUUUGUAAUAAAUAAAUCAAGUAGAAUUUAUAUCUAGACUAGCUAGGUGCGUAAAAUUUAUAUAUAUAGAGAGAGAGAGAGCUAGGCUUUUAUAAUAUUUAUAUUGUUGAUACGGCGUUCAAUUCAACACAAAUUUUUUUUUUUAGAUUCAUUCAUUCCAUCAUAAUUAUUAAAAAUAUUUUUAUAUAUAUUUUUCAAAUAAAAUAAUUUAGUUAACUGGUUAUGAUAAUAUAAUAUAAAUGUUACAUGGUAAAUUUUCCAAUAAUGAGGAAUUUCUAUCACUUCCAUCUUAUUAUAAAAAACCAACAAUUAUCUCCUUCAUUUAAAAAAAGUAUAAAGAAAUAUUUUUAUUUAUACACGAUGGAUUAGAUGAACACAGAGGAACAAUAUAAUUUACUGGGGAGUACGUUUGGAAUGAUAUAUAUAUCUCCUCCGAGAAAAUUUCAGAUAAUAAUUAAUGGGUUAAUUACACCGGUAGUUCCGCAACCUUUUCACCAAUUUUUACUUGAGUUCCUAACUCUUUUUUUUUGCAAUUGAGUUUCUAAUCUCUUGAUUUAAUUUCAAUUAGGUCCCAACCGUUAAAAAACUGUUAAAAUAACAGAAUCGCCACAUCAGCGCUUAUGUAACAACCUUGUGCAUGUCAAUUAGGUCCCUAACUUGCACAUUUUUCAUUUAGUCCCUAAAAUAAAUUCAAAAUUUUAAAUUUAAAUUAAAAAUAAUAUUAAAAAAAAUUUUAACUAACAGAAAAUUAGAAUUUUGAAUUUGAAUUUAAAACUGAAUUAAAUUUUGAAUUGAAAUUCAAAUUUUAAAUUUAAAUUUUUAAUUGAAUCUAAAUUUUGAAUUCAAACUUAAAAUUUUGAUUUUGAUUUUGUAUUUCAAUUUACAUUUAAAAUAAAAGUUUCGAAGCCGAAAAUUUAAAUUUAAAAUAUGAAUUUAAAUUUAAAAAUAUAUUCAAUUUUGAUUUUAAAAUUUUAAUUUGAAUUUAAAUUUAAUUUGAAUUUAAGAUUUGAUUUCAAUUCUAAAUUUGAAUUUAAACUCGAAGUUCAAAAUUCACAUUUUGAAUUUGAAAUUUCAAAUCGAAGUUUGAAAUUAAAUUAGAAUUAGAAUUCCAAAUGUGAAUUUGAAUUUAAAAUUUAAAAUUAAAAAUUAAAUACAAAUCGGAUUUUGAAUUCCAAUUUAAAUUUGAAUUCAAAAUCACAAAUUUAAAUCUAUAAAUUAAAUUUUUUUUUUAAUUUAUAAAUUUAAUGGUUAAAUUACACUAUUGGUCCUCAACCUUGCACCAUUUUUUAAUUUGGUCCCUAACUUUUUUUUUUUGCAAUCCCGCUGACACAGCGGCCACCGUGGUGCUGACAUGGCGCCUCCCGUGGCGCUGACGUCGGGCUGACGUGGCAUUUCCCGACAAUUUUAACAGUUAUCUAACGGUUGAGACUUAAUUGAAAUGAAAUCAAAAAUUAGAGACUUGAUUGCAAAAAAAAAAUUAGGGACUAAAUUGGAAAAUAGUGUAAAGUUAGGACAUUGGAAUUAGCAAUAAUUAAUGGAUAGAAAUGGAUACAGCGGGAGCUAAAAAUCUUGUCUACGUUGUUUGUUUCAAUUUCUUUUCUAAUAAUGGUGGCUUAAAUGUCACGCUACAUUGACCUGAGGAUUCAACUUUAAUAUUAAAAAUAAAAAAAAAAUCAAAUGAAAAUCCGGUUCGUCCAAAUUACAAUGAUGUCCCUUUCAAUCACACCCGAUCCGCCAACCGAACAAUCCAACAGUCACGGCGCAAGAUCAAGCAUGCUGGACCCACACGUAACCAUGAAGUCUCAGCAACCUAGAUUUGGAAUCACCAAUGUACAAAAGAAACAACACUGCCUAAAUUAUAUGAAGAAUAUUACUAACCGUACUUAUUAGCGCAUGAUAAAAAAUUUAAUAUAUUAUAUUUAAUAUGUUAAAAACUUAAUUAUUUUAUAUUUCGGUUAAAUUUAUUAAAAAAUAGGGCAAUUGCCUAAUAUACCCUGAAAAGUUUCCCGUUUUCUUAUUUACCCUCUUAGAAGGCUAAUAUUGAAAAUACCCUUCUUAUGUUCAAGUUUUUUCUAAAAUAUCCCUAGAGUUAAGUUCCGUUAGUGAGCUGGCCGUUACUCUGAAAUUUAAUUACAUUUGCCCAUUCCAAUAUACCCUUGUACCGUAACAAACUUUUUAUAUACCCUUCAUAUAGCAAAUACUUUUCUAUUUUACCCUUCAGCCGGAUCCGGAGCCAGAAGCGUCAGGGUCCGAUGGAGCUGCGGCCCUCUGUGCUCCUGCGCGGGCCAAGGCAGGCGCGAUGAGGAGAAGGACGACGAGAGCGGCGAGAGAUGGGAUCGUCGGCACGGCCCUCUUGCUCCCGGCGCCGGCCAGGGGCGGGAGGAAGAGGACGACGCGACGACGAAGCGCGCGGCGAGGAGGACAACGAGAGCGACGAGAUGGUGGAUUGGAGGUGAGGUGUGGGAGUGGUGGUGGUCUGAGAGGAGAUGAGGCGAGGAGGUGAGUAGAGCGAGGAGCCGCCGGUGGUGGCGACAAAAUUGAGGAAGAAAGAGAGGAUAAUCUUAGGGAUUACUAUAAUAAAGUAGGGGCAAAAUAGGAUUUUUGUUCAGGUUUUAACUCUAGUAUAGAUUUAACGCCAUGUUUAACCGAGUUAAGCUAACGAGGGAUAACUGCGAGGGUAUUUGGAAUAACGGUGGAACGUAUGAGGGUCAUUUUAGAAAAGAAAAAAAAAGUAGGGUAGAUCGGAUAUUUUCGACGCAUCGAAGUAUAUAUAUAUAUAUAUAUAUAUAUAAUGAUUUUUUAAAAAAGUAUCAAGUAUUUGACGCGUGUAAAUUUUUUACCAUUAAAUCUAUUUUUUGCUAAAUUCCAUUCUUUAAAUUAUGAUACUUCACCAACCAUCAACUCAAUUCUAGAAGUCUCUUAUUAUCCUAACAGUACAUAUAUGAACGUCAUUCCAUGUCGUAGUAUAGGUUGUAUGUAAAUGGAUUAAAUAUUUUAUUAUGUAGUGGACAAUAAUUUUUUCGUGCCCAAGUUCUUUUCCAUUCCGAGUACUGGUAGGAUUAUAAAGUUCUCUCUCUCAUUAAGAUAAUCACAAUUCAAUUAAACUCUACAAAUUAAGUCCACUUAAACAAACUUGCGCCAGUUGAGCAGUCCAAUUAACUAACUAAUUAAAUAUAAAUUAUUUCAGAUAAAAAUAAGCUAAUAAAUUGCAAAUUUAAAUUUCUCCUCAUUCAUAAUUUACUCACAUGGGUUAUUCCAUCUAAAACCAUAUGCAUUAUUGUGAGGUUUGGUUUAGGGGAGGAGAAAUGUAAUUAAUAACUCUUCAGCACCUCCGGCGCGAUUGGGGGUCGAGAGGAGCGAGAAGAACAUGUGAGUCACUUAUGAAUGAGGACAAAUUUUAAUUUGCAAUUUUUUACCUUAUUUUUAUCUCGAAUAGUUUAUAUUUAAUUAGUUAGUUAAUUGGAUUGUUUGACCGGCUCAAGUUUGUUUAAGUAGACUUUGUAGAGUUUAAUUGACUUGUGAUUAUCUCAAAGAGAGAGACUAUACAACUCUCGAUGUACGAAGAAAGGAAAAGCACUUCCCCAACAGAUAAAUAAUUGUUCAGUACAUAAUAAAAUAUUUUUUGUCCAAUAAUACACGACCUAUACCACGUGCCUACGUACGAGCGAAAAUUUCUACUUAAUUAAUUGACCUUUAUUUUUUAUUUCUCUAUUACUCCUCUACUUUUAUCUUGAUCCCCAUUUGAGAAAGGACCUUUAGUUUAGUGAGUCUUAAAUUUCAGAGAAUAGUUUUCAGAGAUUGAAAGUAAAGAUGAAUAACAGCAUCGACAGCUGGAAUUUAAGUGAAAUGUUGUUUAGUUCGGCAGACUUAAUUUGCUAAAAUUAUUCACCAAACAUUAAUUUCCAUCUCAAUCUGAUUACCUCAUCAAACUUUGCAUAAUUUUUAAACAAAACAAAAAAACGAUAGCUAAUUUAGUUACCACAUAAUUAAGUAUAACUAGUGAAAUAUCCGCGCGAUGCUGCGGAUCUAAAAUAUUUUUACUAUAGUUUUAAAUUUUAAUAUUUUUAUAUAGUGUUAUAAGUCUAAUUAUUAAUUAUAUAAAAAUAAUUUAAUAGUUAAAUCUAUUUAAAUAAAAGUCAUUAAAAUUGUAUAUGCGCAAAUAAAUUUAUACAUCACUUUAUUUAUAAAGAUUUCUGUGAGAAGGAUUUGAGAUAAAUUUAUCAAAUAAUUUUUAAAAAAUCAAUUGAUAGAAGGGAGAAUAAAUUUGUAGAAAAUUGCUUAAUAAAAUUAAUUAUAUAUAUAUACACAUAUACACUAAUAUUUUUAAAAUUUUCACUUGAAAUUUAAAUUAUGUUUUUUUUAUACAACGAUAUAUUUACGUAAUUUAAAUUAAAUCUAUCAUGUUAAAUUUAUUAUGCGAUUUAUUACGCAUAUUAUUAAUAAAUUAAUUAAUAAUUUCAUGAAAUUUAAAUUAUGUAUUUUUUAUACAACGAUAUUUUACGUGAUUUAAAUUAAAUCUAUCAUGUUAAAUUUUAUUAUGCGAUUUAUUACGCGUAUUAUUAGUAAAUUAAUUAAUUAAUUUCACAGAGUUAGAGAUUUAAAUUUUAAAUUUUGAAGAAAUUAAUUAUGUAUUUUUUUUACAACGAUAUUUUACGUGAUUCAAAUUAAAUCUAUCAUGUUAAAUUUUAUUAUGCGAUUUAUUACGUGUAUUAUUUAUAAAUUAAUAAUUAAUUUCAUAGAGUUUAGAGAUUUAAAAUUUAAAUUUUAAAGUUACAAAAUUGCAAAUAAAUAUUAAAGUUAAAAUGAAAUUUAGAAUUUAAAAUAUAAAAUUUAAAUUAAAAUUUAAAAUUUGAAAGCAUCAAAAUUUUAAAUUUGAUAUCAAAAUUUAAAAUAUUAUAUAUAUAUAUAGGAGAGAGAGAGAGAAGAGGAGAGAGAGAGUAAAGUAGGGUUUGGGGGGAAGGGGUGAUACGUGUUCACUCUAUGCGCCCCCAAACCAUCCUCUAAUGUAAAAAAUAGAUUUAAAUUAAAUUUAUCAUUGUAAAUUUUAUUAUGCGAUUUAUUAUGCGUAUUAUUAAUAAAUUAAUUAAUUAAUUUCAUGAAAUUUAAAUUAUGUAUUUAUUUAUACAAACGAUAUUUUACGUGAUUUAAAUUAAAUCUAUCAUGUUAAAUUUUAUUAUGUGAUUUAUUACGCGUAUUAUUAAUAAAAUUAAUUAAUUAAUUUCAUAGAGUUUAGAGAUUUAAAUUUUAAAUUUUGAAGAAAUUUAAAUUAUGUAUAUUUUUUAUACAGCGAUAUUUUACGUGAUUUAAAUUAAAUCUAUCAUGUUAAAUUUUAUUAUGCGAUUUAUUACGUGUAUUAUUAUAUAAAAUUAAUUAAUUAAUUUAUAGAGUUUAGAGAUUUAAAAUUUUAAAUUUUAAAUUACAAAAUUGGAAAUAAUAUUAUAAGUUAAAAUUGAAAUUUAGAAUUUAAAAUAUAAAAUUUAAAAAUUUGAAGUAUCAAAAUUUUAAUUUUGAUAUCAAAAUUUAAAAUUAUAUAAAUAUUAUAUAUAUAAGAGAGAGAGAGAGAGAGAGUAAAGGGGUUUGGAGGGAGGGGGUGACACGUGUCACCCUAUGGGCCCCCAACCCUCCUUUAAUAUAAAACUAGUGAAAUCCCUGCGCGAUACUGCGGAUAUAAAAUUUUUUUAAUAAAUUUUAAUUUUUUAUAAUUUAAAAUAAUUUUAUAAGUCUAACUAUUAAUUAAAUAAAAGUUAUAUAAAAAUAAUUAAUAAUUAAUUUUAUUAAAUAAAAUUUAUUGAAACGACAACUUAUUUAUUAAAGAUUUAUGUAAAAAAGUUUGAGAUAAAUAUAUAAAACAAUUUUAAAAUUAAUAAAUAGAAGGGAAAUAAAUAAAUAGAGAAUUUGUUUAAUAAAAUUAAUUUUAUAUAUAUACACACGCGCCCAUAUAUUUUAUAAAUCUUACUCCUCAAUUUAAAUUGUAUUUUUUAUACAUCGAUCAAAUUAGAUUUAUUAUACGAUUUAUUACUUGUGUUAUUAAUAAUAUUAAUUAAUUAUAUUAUAUACAAUGAAUUAUUAAUAAAAUUAAUUAAUUAAAUUCAUAGAGUUUAGAGAUUUAAAUUUUAAAUUUUGAAGUUUAAAAUUUGAAAUAAAUAUUAGAAAUUAAAUGAAAUUUAAAAUUUUAAAAUUUGAAAGUAUCAAAAUUUAAAUUUUGAUAUCAUAUAUAUAUAUAUAUAUAUAUAUUAUAUAUAUAUAUAUAUAUAUAUAUAUAAAAUUUUGAAGUUUAAAAUUUAGAAAUAAAUAUUAUAAAUUAAAUUUAAAUUAAAUAAAAUUUAAAAUUUUGAAAGUAUCAAAAUUUUAAUUUUGAUUUCAAUAUAUAUAUAUAUAUAUAUAUAUAUAUAUAUAUAUAUAUAUAUAUAUAUAGAGUUGAGCUAGAAUACUCUCGAUUAGUAACGAGCCCGUUUACUCUCGAGUUGUUUCGAUGAUAGAGCUUCCAAAUUGACGAUCGGCUCCGUUAAAUAUGAUCUAAACCAUUUAAACUACUAGAAAUCAGAUUUCACGCACUUUCAGAUAUUGUUUAUAUCCAUCUAGUGAACAGAAAAAUGAAUGGCUGAAAAUGAAUAUUACUUUUUAAAAAAUGAUGAUAGGAGUCUUGUAAUCAAGAUCAAGAGUAUAGAUCUUGUUUUAAAUAGUUUAAAGAAUUUUCUAACAAAAAUUCAAUUGAUUUGAAUAUCUUUACACCGUUAAACGAGAAAACGUCUCUUAUCCACCAUUAAAAUUACAAAUUUUGAAACCCUUUGAUCAUUAGGCAAAUGAUGUCGAAAAGAUUUGAAAUUUGAUUUCUAAACACUUCAAGUGGUAUAAAUCAUGUUCAACGGAGCCGAUCGUCAAUUUGGAAGCUCUAUCAUCGAAAACAACUCGAGAGUAAACGGGCUCGUUUACUCUCGAGAGUAUUCUAGCUCAACUCUAUAUAUAUAUAUAUAUAGGAAGAGAGAGUACAAGAGGGAUUUGGGGGGACACGUGUCACCCCAAGGUUCCCCAAACCCUCCUUUAAUGUAGAGAAAAAAUAGAUAAAAGAAUAGAUUUAUUUAAAUUUUAU